rnacentral:lncRNA from 1 species
UUGCUGGUGUACUUCUCGCCGACGUCGGGCUUGAACAUGCGGUGGGACGGCCAUUGGAACUGCCUCAGCUCACAGGUAAAAGCCGGGCAGCCCACCUCGUAAGGUAGGCCGCCGGGGCCCCCCGGAGCCGGGUGGUCCAUAGCGGGUCCCGCCUGCUUGUCUGACUGGCGGCGCGUUUCGCGCCGGCGCUCGACGGCGGUUCGAGCGUCUUCAUGAGCUCGCUCCUGAAGGACCUGGCGCUGGUAGUGGAGGGUCCGCGGGUCGGACGAUGCUAUGGGGAUGUUAUCACAAGCGUCGUUGCGACGGGCUGACGCCCGCGGCGGCUGGCGAGGAGGAGGAGAGUGCACCGUGGCCGCAGCUCCCCCGGUCCUCCCAGCGCCAGCAUGUGGUGGCUCGGUGGAGCGCUGGCCCGAGGGCCCCGCCGAUCGCGGAUCAUCUUUGUGUGCGACGGCGACGAGGCUCCGGAUGGUGGCCCUCCACUCGUCGAGCUUCUCUGCAGCAGGAGGGAAGUCGAGGAGCAGUUGUGCGCGUGCCAAAUCUUACGCUGGCGUGGGCGGCGGCGACAGCUGCGUGGAUCACGGUGCACUUCGACUUCUAACUACGUUAAAAGGAGCUCCGUUAUGACCCAGCGGCUGCGUGCCAUUUUCGCCAGUGCUUCCGCGAGCGUGCUGAACCCCCUCAUUUUGUCGACGAUGCACAAGGUUCUUCCCACGGCGGUGCCCAGGGUCACCAUCAGGUGACGCUGCUCAGCACGCACACCAUGGGAAGAACGCGCGGUGGUCGCCGGUGUAGGCGUCCUGGAGGUCGCCGCGCCGCCUGGAGUCGGCACAGCAACGCCCCUGGAGGGCCCCACGCGCCUGCGGGGGGGGGGCAGCUCCAUCCUUGGAUCCGGCGACAUGUAGCCGGUCGUCUGGCGUGCGAACAACGCCGCUCGCCAGGCUUCGACUGCCCGGGUCCUGUCUGCGAUCGGUCCGCUGCUCGUCCGCACCGGCGCGGGUCGUUCGGCUCCCAACGAAUCGACCGCCGUGGUCUUCCUCUUCUUAGGGGCCAUGGCGAUGAAGAACUGCUAGGCUGACUACUAGACCAGAUGCUCACAAUUGCGCCCCCUACCUGGCGCGCCAAGGAUGUCGGUGUGGAACGACACCUAUGGGAUCACAGGAAUCCCUACUACGGUAGCCGGGGCACACGGUUGCGAGGAGAGCAGUGCUAGUAUAUAGCACAAGGAUCGUAUACCCAGGUUCGGGCCGCGAGGAUGCAUAAAACCCUAGUCCUACUUUGGUGGGUGUAUUUCUGAGAGUUCUUGAGCUCUCGAACUAGUUGUGGUCAGCGUGUGGUUCGAAAGAGCCGAAUCCCUAUCCUCGUCGCCUCGGGCCUCCUUUUAUAGGAAAAAGGGGUUGCCACAGUGGCACACAGGAGGUGGAAAGGUCUACAGUGGCACGAGGUUAUCCCUCAUAUUACAGGACAGGGCACAUUUAAUGCAUCGCUUAGGUGUCCUCUUGCUUUAUCAGGGACGGGGGCGAGGUCCGUCCCGUCCGUCACUGCUCCUCCUCACUUCGACACGCGCUUCGGCCAGGGAUGCGGUGUGGUGCCAUGUAGGCAGGCAGGCAGCUGAGUUGGCGCGGUGGUGGAGCCUUCACGAAGAUUUGCAUGCCGCCACACAUGCGCUUGAUGAGUUGGUCCGGGACCUGCAUGUUGCCACGCAGGUGCCUGCCCAGCUGGUUGGGUUGGCAGCUGCAUGUGAACGGCGGUGGAAGCUUGGCUGGCGUGGGCUUGGCGGUGGCCUUGCCGGCGUCUUUGGCGAGGGUCUUGCCGGGUGGCCCGGCAAGGGUCUCGCCGUGGCUGCUGAGGCCACCAGGCAAGGGUCUUGCUGGGGGAACUGGCUCCGUCCCUCUGCUCUUUGUGGUUUUGGCCUUGGUGUUGCUUUGAUUGUCUUGGGCUUCAAUCUUACCUUGGCUCACCUCCCUCAUUCUGCUUGGUGUGGCCGCGGGCGCGGCUCUGACUGCCCGUGCACAGGAAAAGGGGUACAAAUAUGCGCCCUAUUUUUGUACACCUAAAGGCGGGGGAGGCGGCAAUGCGGGCGGAGUCAGGUCCUCGCAUGGGAUGGCGCCGAGCCGCCUGCAUGGGAAAGACAGCAUCGCGCCGCGACCCCAGGCCCUGAAGCGCACGGCGAACCCGACCGGGGCCGGGAGGCCGUCCAAGAGGAAGCGCGGCGGCAGGGAUGGGAGGCCAACGCCGGUCCCAGUCUUGGCGGGGUAAGCUUCAUCUCUCGUUCGCGCUCCGAUUUUUUCCUCGAGCUAGUCUUGUUUCUUUUCUGCUUAUUCCGUCUUCUUCUUCAGGUCGCCAAUCGCGCUAGCGAGGGCGGCGGCGGAAGCCGCGGCCGCCGAAGGGGCCGAGUUCCGCAGGAGCUAGUCCGACCUCGCCGAGCAGGCCGAGGUGGAGGAACAGGCCGACUCGGACCUUGGCCUAGAUCCGAACGACGCCGAAGUCGUGGCCUGGCGGGACAGGAACCGGGCCGAGGCGGAGCUGAAGGCGCCGUCGGUCCAUGCUUGGACCGUCGCGAUGGCGGCAUGGGCGCGAGGCGGCGUGGAGCCGGCCUGGCGCGAGAUGCUGGAGGGCACGGUGGUGGCGGCGACGGUCUUUGAGCCGUUGCUGGCGAGGGAGCGCGGUCGUGAAGGUCGGUCUGCGGUGGUGAUCCCCGACCGGGCGGUCAAGGAGGUGGCGGAUUACUCCCCACCGCGGGCCGACAUGGUCGGGCGAGCGGGGGCUGAUGGUGGUGGAGGCGGCGCCGUUUUGGAAGAGACGCUGCGGGUGGCGGUGUCGGAUGCGCCGCCGGUUUUGGAGGAGGCACCGCAGGCGGCGGGGCCGGAGGCCGCCCCGGCAACUGGGCCGGAGACGGUGACGCAGGGCGUCCCGACGUCCGGGUUGUCGUUGUCGCUGGGAGGGGCGUCGGAGGAGGUGCUGGCCGCGUCGCGAGCGGCCAGCGGGGAGUACGCCUUGGUGCCCCGGCAGGGAGGGCGCCGAGCUGCCGUGCCGCAGCCGGCGCGGAGCGGGAGUGCCAUUGUCUUCGGGCCUCAGACCCAGGAGGAGGCGGCGCUGGACCCCGUCAGUCGCCGCCUGCGAGGCCGGACGGAACGGCUCGAGGCCUUCUCCCAAGCCGAGGUGGAGCGAACGCGGGACCUGGAGCGCGCCGUUCUGGUAAGUUUUCUUGUAAUUUCUUCUUUGUGGGGGCGCGCCAGCGCACCCACUGGGUGUAGCCCCCGAGGUUCGGGCCAACUACAUAGUAGUUGGGUCGAAUAUUUAGAGUGUUGGCCUUAUUCUGACUUUUGCUUUCUUCAGCAUCUCAACGCUUUUCGGGUCGCCUCCUACAAUCGUCUCCUGGGCAAGCACCGGGAGCUCAAGGAGCAGCUUGCCACCAAGGAGGAGGAGCUCCGCGUCGCCGCAGGUAUUCUUGUACUCUUUUCUAGUGGGGUCGCACUAGCGUGCCCACUGGGUGUAGCCCCCGAGAUUCGGGCCAACUGUGUAACAGUUGGGCCAAAUAUUAAGUCUUGCUUUUUUCUUCUGCUGAGUCCUUUUUCGCAGCCGAGGUGCUGUCCUGACGGACUCGUCUGCUCCGGGACAGUCAUCACUAUGAUCAGCUCGUUGCCGACACCGGCCGCCUUGGCGUCGAGGCGGCGCAGGCGAGGGCGGAAGCUGCCGCGGCUUGGCGGUCUCUUGACCAGGCCAACCGGCUGCAUGAGCAGCUGGCGGGUCACAAGAGCCGCCUCGAGGCCGAGGUGGAGCACCUUAAGGCGGAAGACGCCAAGGUGGCAGAGGCGCAGCAGGCCCUGGUGGAGGCGGACCAGCAGCAUGGCCAGCUGGCCGAUGAUAAGGGCCGGCUUCAGGCCGAGGUGGAUCGCCUGCAGGAGUAAGUCGGUACGGCUGAGGGGGCCCGUCAGGACAAGACCCGUCGCCGCGAGGCGGCCGAGAAGGCGGCCGAAGACAAGGACACCGAGCUGAAGGCGGCCCUUGCCAAGGCGGCCAAUCUGGAGAAGGCGCUCAAGGAGCGCGAUCGCGCCAUCGAACGGGAGCAGCGUGGUAUGUUGCUUGAAGUGCAGCACCUGGAAGAGUCCUUCUCCAGUAAGUGCUUUUUCUUGUCGUUCGCCGGGUCGGGAUCUGGCCUUUCUUCCUUGUUGUUCUUCUUCUAACUUGCUUCUUCCUUUGCGGUAGGGGCCUUCCCGGAGACACAGCGGCUGGCGGAGGAAGCCGUCUGCCAUCAGCGCAACCCGACCGGUGUCGUUGGGUCCGGGACGGAUCCGCGGGUGGCCUAGACCUUCCCGGAGAUCAUUGCCGCCACUGAGGCCCGCCUGCGGGUCCUGGGAACGCAGUUGGGAUGGCUGUCCUAGGCCGGCACCGCGAUGACGGCGACCCUACGGCCGGACUCCGUCCAACCGAGCAGCUUCUCGCGCCUAGCGCGUUGGUUGGAGAUGGGGCCGGACUGGCUUGGCGAGUGGCGCGUCUCCACCGCUCGUGCCGGUGCUGAGAUGGCGCUCCGGUUCACGCUGUCCUGGCAUCUGGACCUGUAGCUGGACGCGUUGAUGGACCAGCGGGCCGGUUCAGAGCAGCACUUACAGGAGCAAGCCGGCCGGAUCGCCUCCCAGGCCAGCUACGUCGCCGAGUUCGCCUUCCACGACGUGUUCCAUCCAGAGCGGACGGAAGACGGCAGGGCCGUGGACGGCGACGACUACGGCUUGCUCCUCCAUGAUCUGGAGGGGAGCUCGGAGGAGACGGGCAUCUAGCGCGACGCGGGUGCUGAGGAGGACACCGGCUGAGGGAGUCCUGGAUUAGGGGGUCUCCGGAUAGCCGGACUAUAUCCUUUGGCCGGACUAUGAAGAUACGAGAUUAAAGACUUCGUCUCGUGUCCAGAUGGGACUCUACUUGGCGUGGAAGGCAAGCUAGGCAAUACGGAUAUGUAUAUCUCCUCCUUUGUAACCAACAUUGUCUAACCCUAGCCCUCUCCGUGUCUAUGUAAACCGGAGGGUUUUAGUCCGUAGGACAACGUACAAUCAUACCAUGGGCUAGCUUCUAGGGUUUAGCCUCUCUGAUCUCAUGGUAGAUCUACUCUUGUACUGCCCAUAUCAUCAAUAUUAAUCAAGCAGGACGUAGGGUUUUACCUCCAUCAAGCGGGCCCAAACCUAGGUAAAACUUCAUGUCCCCUGCCUCUUGUUACCAUCCGCCUAGACGCACAGUUCGGGACCCCCUACUCGAGAUCCGCCGGUUUUGACACCGACAUUGGUGCUUUCAUUGAGAGUUCCUCUGUGUCGUCGCUAGAAGGAAGGAUGUCUUGUCUCAUCUUUAAAGACGGUACUACUGUCGGGGGAGCUUUGGCUGUCGGCCAAACUCUCUGGCUAGGCGGUUUCAUCAUGACCGCCUGUUCGGCCACCGCGCCGACGAUGACUUCUCGGGUCAUCGAAAACAGCCUCCACGUCAAAUCAGCACUCGUCGAACAGAUGGAUCCAAUGGAGCUCGCCUCCUUAAAUGAGCUCUUAGAUCGCAUCGCCACCUUGGGAGUCGCUAUGGACUAUGAUCGGAUUGGGCUUAAACCCGAUCAAAGGGAGAUUAACUCUCCACCGGUCACCCAUCAUAUUGCAGUGGUGGAGGAACAAUGCGGCGACCUUUCCUCCAUCUUGAGGACCAACUAUGUCCGGAUUCAUGAACUCUCUUAGCCGGACGCCCGUUCGCGGGAGGACAACAUCCAAUCCCUGAACUUAGAGUCAGGCAGCGGGCCAGGAUUAUCGGGUCACACCCCGGAACCGGAACUUCCAAAAUUGGAAAUUCCUUGGCCCCUGGAUCCCAGAUCAGGUGAGGGUUUGGAUUCAAUUCCACCCACCCACCCAAACAUAAGCGAUCUUUCCCACAUAAGCCAAGAGCCCCAGGAAACAGUACAUCACUAUUGGGCCAGAUUCCUCCUUGCGAUGAACAAGGUUAAGGACUGUCGCGAGGAAGACGCAAUCCUAUUUUUCUGCAAUAAUUGCACGGACAAGGGAAUCUUUAACGCCAUAAAUCACUGUGAGAUAACACGCUUCGCUGACUUGGCGUCCAUAGUACGAAAGUACUGUGCGAUGGAAAGUGCCUGGAAAACUGAAAUAAACUUUUGGGAUAAUCCGGCCCUGAAUACAAACCCAAUCCGAAACAAAAGGGUGCAUUAUCACAAUACACCCGGGUCAACUACCAAAAAAACCCUCUAUAGGGUAUGGAACCGUACUGGAAGGAUGGCUCAAUGGACCCUGCAAAAUUCAUAGUACAGCGGAUACAGUACCAACGCACAGCCUUAGAGCAUGUUGGACACUCCGGCAGGUGGCCAAAAGUGGUGAGGAUCUACUUCUCCCAAAUACCACAGAGAACCAUCCCGUGGAUAACAAUACGGUGUUAAUGGUCUUUGAGACCUUCGCGUCAAAUAAUAGACGCAAGCGAACACUCGCAGCAUGGCCGAAAUCUUCCACGUAGCAGCAAUAAAUCCAUGGAGUGAAACGGCUAUUACCUUCAAUGCCAGUGACGAACCUAAAUUCCGAACAGCCCGAGCACCAGCCACACUGGUCCUCAGUCCAACCGUGGACGGCUUUCGACUCACCAAAGUACUCAUGGAUGACGGCAGCGGAUUAAACCUCAUUUAUGAGGAAACUCUUCAAAAGAUGGAAAUAGACUGGAACCGCAUUGAGCAAAGUAGCACAACAUUUAGAGGAAUCAUCCCUAGUCGGGAAGCAUGCUGUGCUAGGAAAAUCACACUAGAUGUGGUAUUCGGCUCGCCGGAUAAUUAUAGGUCCUAAGAAAUUACAUUCCAAGUGGCCCCGUUCAGCAGUGGUUAUCACGCUCUUUUAGGACGGGAGGCAUUCACAAUCUUCCAAGCCGUACCCCAUUACGGGUACAUGAAGCUCAAAAUGCCCGGGCCCAACGGAAUCAUCACUCUCGCCAGCGAUCCGGACACAACACUCUGCGCCAAAAACAAAACAGUCGCAUUGGCCCUCGAGGCAUUAUCCGAAGCCCUCUCGGCCGAGGAAUUAACCACGCUACGCUCCACAGUGGACAGGGACGACGUGAUACUCGACAAGAGAUCCAAGUCCACCUCUUUUAAACCAGCGGAUGAAAUAGUCAAAUUCCAAGUCCACCCAACGGACCCUACAAAAACAGCCUCCAUCGGGGCACAACUAAGCCCCGCUGUGGACGCCGCACUAUGAGAGUUCCUGCGUGAGAACUGGGACAUAUUCGACUGGCAUCCCUCAGACAUGCCAGGAAUCCCACGCAGGCUGGCUGAGCAUAGCCUCAAUAUCCUAAAGGGAUUCAAGCCGGUCAAGCAAGCUCUUCGGCGUUUCUCCGAACCUAAGAGACAGGCCAUGGGAGAGGAACUAGCCAAGUUAUUGGAGGCCGGAUUCAUCAAAGAAAUAAAACAUCUGGACUGGCUAGCAAACCUGGUGAUGGUACCAAAGAAGGACAAAUCCUGGCGCCUUUGUGUCGAUUUCAAAGACCUCAAUAAAGCUUGCCCAAAGGAUCCCUUCCCCUCCCAUGCAUCGAUCAAAUCAUUGAUGCUACCGCAGGACACGAGUCAUUAUGUUUCCUCGACGCAUACUCCGGUUACCACCAAAUCAAGAUGGCGGAGUCCGACCAAGCCGCAACGGCAUUCAUCACACCAUACAGUCCCUUCUGUUUUAACACAUUGCCUUUUGGGCUCAAGAACACCGGCGCAACAUAUCAGCGCAUGAUUCAGACAUGUCUGGAGAAACAAAUCGGCAAAAUAGUAGAGGCAUACGUAGACGAUGUGGUUGUUAAAAGCAAACACGUCGACUCUUUGAUAGAUGACUUGAGGCUCACAUUCGACAACCUCCGAGCAUACGACAUCAAGCUCAAUCCGGAAAAAUGCGUUUUCGGCAUACCAGCCGGAAAACUCCUGGGUUUCAUUGUCUCCAGUACAGGUAUCGAAGCUAAUCCGGCCAAAAUCUGAGCUUUGUCACAGUUGGCUACACCAACAGACCUCAAACAAAUCCAGAAGUUAACUGGAUGCGUGGCGGCUCUAAGCCGCUUUAUCUCCCGCUUAGGAGAAAAAGCUUUACCCCUUUAUCGCCUUCUUCGGCGCACCGAACACUUUGAGUGGACGGACGCUGCCACAGCCGGAUUGGAAGAAAUAAAGGCCAUUUUGGCAACCAACCCAAUCCUGGCCGCGCCAAACAUUGGCAAACCAAUGCUAUUGUACAUUGCGGCAACUCAUCAAGUUGUAAGCGCAGUGCUCGUCGUCGAGCGAGAAGCUGCCGGACAUAAAUUCCCUCUUCAAAAGCCGGUAUACUAUGUAUCCACUGUCCCCACUCCAUGCAAAUCACGGUACCCACAUUAUCAAAAGAUAGCCUAUGCGGUAUUCAUGGCGUCCCGGAAGCUACGACACUACUUUCAAGAGUGUUCGAUUACGGUAGCCUCGGAAGUGCCACUUAAUGAUAUUAUAAACAACCGCAACGCUACGGGCCGGAUUGCCAAAUGGGCCAUUGAGCUCCUCCCGUUCGACAUAACAUACAAACCCCGAUGAGCCAUUAAAUCGCAAGUAUUGGCCGACUUCGUCGCCGAAUGGACGGAGGCCGAACUCCCUAAGGAGUAUGGCGCAUACUCCAACUGGAUCAUGCACUUUGACGGUUCUAAAAUGCUGGCUGGUCUAGGGGUUGGCAUCGUCCUGACAUCCCCAACCGGGGAUACCGUUCAGUACGUACUUCAAAUAUUGUAUACAGACUCCAACAAUGCAGCCGAAUACGAAGCUCUGUUGCAUGGUCUUCGGAUGGUAGUCUACAUGGGCAUUCAACGCCUGGAGGUGCGUGGGGAUUCAAACCUUGCAAUAUCCCAAAUAAAUGGAGACUUUGACGCCAAGGAUCCGAAAAUGGCGGCCUAUCGAAACGUUGUCCUAAAAAUGUCAGCUCGGUUCGAGGGGCUAGAAUUUCACCAUGUGGCUCGAGAAAACAAUCAGGCGGCGGAUGUCCUCGCCCACAUCGGCGCAAAACAUGAUACGGUCCCCCCCAACAUAUUUCUGGAAAUGCUGUUCAAGCCAUCCGUAGUAUGGGAAGGAGACACCGGUAACAAUAGUCCGGACCCGGCCAAAAUGCCCGAUACCGAAUACUCUGACACAAUCGGAGGCUCUGCCAUCGAAAUAACACCUUCAGCCCACGUAAUAAUGGCCAUUAUUGCCCCGUGGACAGAACCAUUCCUGGCCUACCUAACUAGAUAGGAACUUCCAGAGGACCAAAAUGAGGCACGCUGCAUAGUGCGGCGAUCCAAGGCCUACAGGGUCCAUGAGGGAGAAUUGUACAAAAAAAGCACUACCGGAGUCCUUCAAAGGUGCAUCUCCGAAGAGGAAGGGCGGAAUCUUUUGGCAGAAAUUCAUGCCGGACUCGGCGGUCAUCACGCCGCAGCAUGGGCCCUUGUAAGCAAGGCCUUCCGCACAGGAUUCUAUUGUCCAACAGCCCGGGCAGACGCACAGGACUUGGUCCAACGUUGCGCCGGUUGCCAGCUCUUUGCAAAUCAAAGCCACAUGCCACCCACCGCCCUCCAAACAAUCCCCAUUACAUGGCCCUUUGCGGUCUGGGGGCUUGACAUGGUUGGACCCCUUAAAGGGGGAACCCACAAGAAAAAACACUUACUGGUCAUGGUGGAUAAAUUCACCAAAUGGAUAGAGGCCAAACCGGUUAAAACAGCCGAAUCCGGACCGGUGAUAGACUUCAUAUCCGGGGUUGUACACCGUUAUGGCAUCCCCCACAGCAUCAUCACUGACAAUGGCAUGAACUUCAUGGACGACGAGGUAAAACUCUGGUGCAGCAAAAUGGGCAUCAAGCUCGAUUAUGCUUCAGUCUAUCACCCACAAACCAACGGUCAAGUCGAGCGAGCAAACGGUCUUAUAAUGAGCGGCAUUAAACCCAGAUUAGUGUGUUCCUUAACGGAGUCUGACACGCAUUGGGUAGAGGAGCUCGACUCCGUACUCUAGGGGCUGCGGACCACGCCGAAUCGUAGUACCGGAUAUACACCGUUCUUUAUGGUGUACGGCACAAAGGUAGUCUUGCCCUGCGACCUAAUUCAUGACUCACCUCGAGUGCGCAUGUACGAAGAAAGAGAAGCCGAGCUCGAUUGGCAGGACAGUCUGGACACCUUGGAGGAGGAGCGCGACAUAGCGAAAGCCCGUUCCGCAUUUUAUCAGCAACAGGCUCGCAGAUACUAAAGCAGAGAAGUACGGGCCAAAACUUAUAACAUUGGCAAACUAGUUCUAUGCCUGCCGGAUAAGAAAAAGAACAAGCUCGAGCCCAAAUGGGAAGAUCCCUUCAUUAUUGACCAAGUUCUGACGGGUGGAGCGUACCGACUGCGGGAUGCAUCGACUAGUCGACUCGAGCCGAACCCACGAAACGCGGCCAGGCUCCGAAGAUUCUACACCUAGCACCGGACUCUAUGUUAGUCCCCUCCCCUUGUCCAUUUUCUGCAUAUGCAUCAUCUGUCUUGUUUCCCUUUCUUUAUUUCUCUUAUUAUUUCUCUAGGCCUUCAAGGGUCACCUUGUGCCUCACUUGUACAUUAUAGAUGCGCUAGCCGCACUCUUCAUACCUGGGGGCUUCUUUCACAGAACCUUAAAUUAUUUAUCUGGGCCUCACGCCCAACACAUGUGUUAUACUUCUGCAUGUACCUUUUUUCACCAUUAUAUGCAUCGAUAUGACUUAAGUUUUGGCCAAGCUGGGUUGCCUGGCUCUUGUAUUUAUGCCCUACGUUCCCGUUAAUUCGGCUAGGGCAUAAGGGGAGCACAUGUGCGAUUGUUACUGCCGAGUCAGCCGGAUGUGUACCUCAGACUGGGUGAAGCCGAAAGCUAGCGUUCUUAAGGGAAUAUUCGGUCGGUGAACAAAAGAUGAUUUUUAUUUAUUGUCCAUAUCUGCCCCCAGAUGCUUUUUCGGUGUUUCUUAUCACAGUCCGGACAUGCACUUUAGGGCAUGCUUACCCAGGGAAAGGAACCCUUAACGGAACUAUUCUCCCUGGAAGAUAUUUCUUACUACCCAUGUAAUAUAACAUAACUAGUUGGGCACUUUUCUGAUAAAGCACUAAUGACCCCUACGCCUGGUCUCCACGCAUACCCCGGUUUUAUAUAACUGAGCGGGUAUUCGGAUUCACUCCGGACUAUCGGGCCCGAAGGUUGAAGCGAAAAGGUCCGCAAUGACAAAUGAUCUACAAUCCGGCUAGAAGGCAUUAUACAUGUCACUUCAAUUAUAUAGUCAUGCAGACUGACUAAAUUCCUCCUCUAUACCAUCCAACAGGCGGUCCAGCUUACAAUCCUGUUGAGAAUACUUUGCGGCUAAUUCUACUUGCCCAUAAACUAAGCUAGCGGGGAUCUCUUUUCCGUCGGGCCCCACAGGUCCGACCUCGGCCAUGUGAUUUGGGCCUGCCUUGGUAUACCGCGUCUUCACCAUGGCCCAGGCUUCUCUGGCACCCUGUUGGCAUGCUGAUAUCUUCCAUAAACGGAAGCAUCGUCGUGCUCCCUUCAGCUUCUCCGCAAGCUCUGCAAUGCCUUCUAGCAGGGAGACGGACAGCCACAAGGCCUGGGCAACGCCCUGCAUCACCUGCCGAACUUGUUCGUGCAGAUGUGACAGCUCCGACAGAAGAUCACCCGCAGACCCGGGCAUUUCCUCCCCGGAAUGACCCGUCAGCAUACCUACAGACAUAACGCUGUUAGACAACUUCUUCGCUGAAUUCCUCUAAAAAGGAUUCGUUCAAACACUUACUGAAAAUGCCACGCCGAAGCCGCUUAUUCUCCUUCUCGGAGUCCGCAAGCUGGCCCCGAACGUCUUUUAAUUCCAUGUUCAGCUUAAUGUUGGCGUCUUGGAGAUUUUUUUCUCCAGCAUAAUCUUAGUCAACACGCGUUUGCCAGCCUCUAGCUAUCGCAUAACAUGCUGGUCCCCCGGACUUUCUCUGGACUCAUCUGCAAAAUCAAUUGUUAGAUCUGCAAACACGUCGCACACUAUAUGGUAACCACCAUUCUUUAAAGUAAAUGUUACCAGCGGGAGGCUUUUUCUGUUCCUGCAAUGCGGCAAGAGCGGCCCCCAGUUGGGUCUUGCAUUCCUCCAGCUCCUGGGACAGCCUAGUAUUCUUCUCUGUAAGAACCUGCACAUUAAAGAUGAUCCUUAAAUCAGUUCUGCUAACUAUUUCAAGUCUCAAGGGCUACUGAUACAUAUAAAUCGUCAUAUUUACUCACCCGUACAUCCUUUACAUACUGAUCCGUUCUCUGGCUAGACCAUCUUGAGCAGCAUGGAGGUACGCCUCUCCAGAAUUGAAGGCAUCGAACGCCUCUGGUGAGAAACAAGCGUUGCGGAGUACGGCCCGACGACGCCUAUGAUUCAUGGCGCUUUCCACUUCUGAGUUUGUAGCGGAUAAUCUAUCUACAUCCUCUGUAGAUUAUCCGGCGCCUGCCCCAUAUCGCCUUCCGCCUCCAUGUCCGGUCCUGGCGCCCGACUGAUGGAAGCUUGAUUGGCAGCAUCGCCGGACAUAUUCCAGCGAGCAUUCUUUCUGUUAAAGAAACGUGGGCGUCAUUACAUUUUGAGAAAGACGACAACCACGGAGCGGGGUUUUCCUAUACCUUUGCGCUGGCGCCUCUGUCCUGACCGCCUUCCUUCUUGGCCUACCCGGCCUCGGUACCUCUUGUUGGCGAGUGGCUGCGGGUUCGGCAGAGCAUCCCGAAUGCCUUCCCUGUAAAAGAUGCCAUGUGUAUAUGGUGGGUGAAGUGCCUAAAAGGGGAUCCUAGUUUUGGAGUUGGAACUUUUUGAUUUUUCUUACCUGCGAUGCAGGGAGCAGUCCGGGAUAGUCGGCCAUAAUGGCCACCAGGGCAUCAUCGCAGCUUAACUGAUAGAACUGUCGGUCUAUCAGUUCCAUGGAGACAACCGGAUCUUCUUCAAGUCCGGAAUCGAGGGCCCGGUCAGGGUCCUCUGGUUGUGGAGAAGGGCUGUUGACCUCCUUUAUGGCUUUUCGCAGUUCCUACCGCAAAGUGGCAAGGUGAAUACUUACGAUUGAGAAUGCGGGAAAAAUAGGGGCAGGGAGAUAUAACUUACCCAGCUUGGAGGAUUGUACAUGGAGAAUCCAUCUCGUGGCUUAAUGCGGUGAACUCCUCUUCCUCACCCUUGAACAGUUCAGACAGAAUUUUCGCUAGAGUGGCAGCAUUGUCCGGACCCUUACGCCCGCAGCGGGUGGCGUCAUCCGCCCCGUUAUAACACCACAAGGGGUACCCACAAUAUUGAAGUGGCUGCACUCCCCGCAUUAUGCACAUCGACAUAACUUUGAUUAUUGUCAAUCCUGAUCGAGCCAAUGCUUUGAUCCAGUUCAUCAGAUAGAGGACUUCUUUGUUGUCUUCCGCCUGGGGGCUCUAUGGGCGCCAACUUCGGCGCUUCUUCAAAGGAGCAUUGUUGAACUCAGGAAGACCCCGCCGAACAGGGUCCGGAAGGGGGACGUCCUCCAUAUAAAACCAUUCUGACGGCCAGUCUUCAGACGGCUUCUUCGGGGUACCGGACAGGUAUCCGGUAUCGGCGAUGCACCAUAUUUCGGCUCCACCCACUUGAUAAAGUGAUUCCCUUUGUGUGCGACGAACAAAGCAGAAUAGCCUUUUCCACAGCUCGAAGUGAGCCUCGCAGCCUAGGAACAACUCGCAGAGAGCAACAUAGCCGGCAUAUGUAGAAUGGAGGCAGGGGUGAGAUUGUGUAAUUGGAGGCCGUAGAACUCCAGGAGCCCGCGGAGGAACGGAUGAAUUGGAAAUCCGAGUCCCCUUAGUAAGUAAGGAACAAGCCAGACCCGUUCCCCCAUGGAGGGACAAGGAAAUCUCUCCUCUUGCGCCCCGCCAUUGUAGGUGGCAAGCCCGGCUUGAACGGGCACCAUAUACGCUGGAGGGAGAAAUACCUUAGUCUGCAGCUCGACUAAUCGACUAUGCGGGACUGAACACCUCUCCCAAUCACCGGGCUUAGGGCUACGGGGGCGGGAGGAGGAGAUGCGGAGGUCGGCCAUGAUAGAAUGGAUCUUUCCGAAACAUGCUCUGAUGAACUCUCCCUGGGGGUGGAUGGUAUGGAUCGGAUCUAAGAAUCCCCAUUCCUUUAAUAGACAAUUUAUUUAUCUGGCUAGGGGGUGAAGGUAAAAACGCCCUGGCGCCUCGUAUUCGUUCGGCGUGUGGGAGAAAGCCCUUAUUGGGCACAGAAGCCAAGAGGUUCAACAUUUAUGGAGCCGGACACUGCUUACAAACACUUGAAAGUUGGAGAAGAACCCGCCUUGCAAUGCCGAAGACAACACUGCGCGCCGGACUCAUCGUCAUUGAAGCCUGGUUCGGGGGCUACUGAGGGAGUCCUAGAUUAGGGGGUCUCCGGACAGCCGGACUAUAUCCUUUGGCCGGACUAUGAAGAUACAAGAUUAAAGACUUCGUCUCGUGUCCGGAUGGGACUCUACUUGGCGUGGAAGGCAAGCUAGGCAAUACGGAUAUGUAUAUCUCCUCCUUUGUAACCGACCUUGUGUAACCCUAGCCCUCUCCGGUGUCUAUAUAGACCGGAGGGUUUUAGUCCGUAGGACAACGUACAAUCAUACCAUAGGCUAGCUUCUAGGGUUUAGCCUCUCUGAUCUCAUGGUAGAUCUACUCUUGUACUGCCCAUAUCAUCAAUAUUAAUCAAGCAGGACGUAGGGUUUUACCUCCAUCAAGAGGGCCCAAACUUGGGUAAAACUUCGUGUCCCAUGCCUCCUGUAACCAUCCUCCUAGAUGCACAGUUCGGGACCCCCUACCUGAGAUCCGCCGGUUUUGACACCGACACCGGUGCCUCGCUGGACUCGCAGGCCGCCAGGGAAGAGCCGUCGACGUCGCGACGCGGCGCUGGAGAUGCCUGAGACACUUUGUGUAAAAUUUGUUAAAUAGCAGGUCCACCUACCCACUGGGGUUUUUUAGGGUGUAAUGAACUCGGGCCGUGGGCCUUUUCUUAAAUACUUGUGUAGAUGUCAUGGGUGCUUUUGCUUUUUGCCUUUCAUUUUUUCGACCAAUUUCAUGUGUUUUUCCUUUCUCAAACCUCCCCCCCCCCACGAGUCAGAAGGGCGAGGCUUCGGUCCGUGACAAGGAGUUCGGUUCUUUGAGAGGAGCACGCAGGACUUGGGUCCCUCAAAACGUUGAGUGCGAGCGAAACACCCACUGGGCCGGCUGGCGGCAAUCCGGCGAAGCCGGUUGGCGAGCAGCCGGUCGUGCGGCUGUUCAUUUGAUGAAUGGUUAGCCGGGUUGAUCGACCCGGUAGCCUUUGACUUAGUGUAUGAAGCGUAAAGGAACUUUGGCCCAUUGUGCUUGCCAGCCGACAGCCAAAGCUAGAUCUGUGGCUUUAGGGCGAAGUGGGGGACCGCGGCAUCCUAACUUUAUCAGGAAUCACCAAGUAAGGCGACGGGGUGGUGACCGAGCUGGCCAGCCCCCGAGCCCCCGGGUCGAGCGAGUCAGACUGGUGGCCGGGUUCAGUGGUAUAGUGAUGCAAGAAAAUAGGGACACAAUAAAUUGGUCGACAAAAGGCAGCCACCGAGUCUCGUUUGGGGACCCCAUGGUUUCAUGCAUUUACAAAAGGCGACGAUACAUACGCUCAUGCGGGUAACUGUAAAACGGGCGGAGGAGUUCCGCGUUCCACGACUGGGUCGUUUCUUCACUGGCGGUGUCCUUCUUGCGCUUCCUUGACUUGCAUGCAUUAAUGAGGUAGUAGGUGUUGCGGUCGCGCAAGGCCCUGCUCACGAUGAAUGGGCCCUCCCAUGGAGGGGACAGCUUGUGCUGGCCUGCCUGCUCUUGGACGAGUCGGAGGACGAGGUCGCCCUCGUGGGACGCGAGGGGCUUGAUCUUCUUACUGUGGUAGUGCCUCAGGCCUUGCUAGUAGAUGGCCGAGCGACUGAGCGCCAGGAGGCGUGCUUCUUCGAGCAGGUCGACGCCAUCUUCGCGGGCUUCUCUGGCUUCGGCUUCGAUGUACAUCACGAUGCGUGGCGAGUCGAACUCGACGUCGGUCCGGAUGACGGCUUCGGCUCCGUAGACAAGGAAGAACAGGGUGAACCCAGUCGACCGAAUUGGCGUGGUGCGUAGACUCCAGAGAACGGCUGGCAACUCGUCAAGCCAGCUGCCGGGUGAGCGGAUGAGUGGCUCGAAGAGUCACGGCUUGACACCGUACAAGAUGAGUCCAUUGGCCCACUCGACCUGCCCGUUGGACUGCGGAUGUGCAACGGAGGCUAGGUCGACGCAGAUGCCGGAGACGGAGCAGUAUUGUUCGAGCGCGCCCUUGGCGAAGUUGGUGUCGUUGUCGGUGAUGAUGCUGUUUGGCAUGCCGUAGCGCACCGCUAUGUCUUUGAUGAACCGGACGGCUGUUGGCCCGUCCAGUUUCUUGAUUGGUCUUGCCUCGAUCCACUUGGUGAAUUUGUCCACUGCCACCAGCAAGUGCGUCAUGCCGCCUCGAGCGGUUUUGAAGGGUCCCACCAUGUCGAGUCCCCAGACCGCGAAGGGCCAGGCGAUCGGUAUGGUGCGGAGUGCUAACGUCGGCUGGUGGCUGCGUUUGCUGAAGCGUUGGCAUCCCUGACACUUGAGGACGAGUGACUCGGCAUCCUGGAGGGCCAUGGGCCAGUAGAAACCAUGGUGGAACGCCUUGGCCACCAGGGAUCGUGAUGCGGCAUGGUGCCCGCACUCGCCCUGAUGUAUGUCGAGGAGGAUGUCGAUGCCCCGUUCCUGCCCGACGCAACGCUGGAACACGCCGGUGGAGCUACGCUUGAUGAGUUCGUUGUUGAUGAAGCUGUAGGCGGACGUCCGGCGCUGCACUUGCCGAGCUUCGGUCUCGUCCAUGGGGAGAACCCCGUUCUCCAAAAAUUCUAAUAUUGGGAGGGCCCAAGAUGGAGCAGUAGCCACGGCAAAGACGGCCACCAGGGUGGGUUCCGAGUCGGCAGCCCCGAGCCGGGUUGAGCAGCCCCCGGGUCGGGGAUGGCGACAGCCGGGUCUGGGACGAUGGUGGCCGGGUCGAGCUGAGCAGCCCCCGGGCUGGGUUCAGCAGUCCCGGGCCGGGUUCGGUAGUCCCCGGGCCGGGUUGAGGUGCGGCCGGGUCGUCUGGAAUGUGGAUGGACUCAAAGUCCGGUGAUGGCUUGACGGAUGGCUUGCGCAGGUGCUCGAGGGAGACGCCGGACGGGAUGGUUUGUCGUGACGAGGCGAUCUUGGCGAGCGUGUUGGCUGCUUCGUUCUCCGUGCGUGGGACGUGGAGGAACUCGCAGCCCUCGAAGGAUCCGGGCAGCUUCUAGACGAGGAAGCGGUAGCUUGCCAUGUUGGAGUCACGGGCGUCCCAUUCGCCGGAGCACUGCCGCACCACCAGGUCCGAGUCGCCGUAGCACAGGAUGCGUCGGAUGCCGAGUUCCUUGGCAAGCCGGAGGCCGUGCACAAGGGCUUCGUACUCGGUGACAUUGUUGGAUGCGGCGAAGUGGAUCUGGAUUGUGUAGCGGAGCCGGUCGCCCUUCAGGGAUGAUAGUACGAUGCCGGCCCCCAAGCCGAGUCGCAUCUUGGACCCGUCGAAGUGCAUGCGCCAAUGCGUCAAGUCGGGAGGCGGCGGCAAGUACUGGGUCUCGGUCCAGUCAACGAGGAAGUCGGCCAAGGCUUGAGAUUUUAUUGUGGUGCGGGGCUCGUAGAGAAUGGUGUGGCCGACUAGCUGGAUCGCCCACUUGGCAACCCGGCCAGAGGCAUCCCGGUACCCGAUGAUUUCUCCGAUAGGCGCCGUGCUGACCAUAGUGACAACGUGCUCUUGGAAAUACUACUUCAGCUGCUUGGCGGUGAGGUACACGUCGUAACACAUCUUCUGGUAGUGCGGGUAGUUAUGCUUAGAGUUGGAGAGCACCUCGCUCAGGUAAUAGACUAGGCGCUGGGUGGCUUGGAUCUUGCCCUUCUCUGGUCGCUCGACCACCAGCACCGUGCUGACCGCCCGCGAGGUCGCGGCUAUGUAGAGCAGCAGCGGCUCCUUGUCGGUCGGCGCGGCCAGGACUGCUGCGAUGGAGGGCAUGCGCUUGAGGUCUUGGAAGGCCUCGUCUGCCUUGCCGUUCAAUUCGAACGGGCUCGUCUUCUUCAUCAGCUGGUACAGGGGUAGCGCCCUCUCGCCCAGCCGGCUUAGAAACUGGCUAACCGAGGCCAAGCAUCCGGUGAACUUCUGGACAUUGCGCAGCUGAGCCGGCUUGCGCAUGCGCUCGAUGGCCUUGAUCUUCUCUGGGUUCGCCUCAAUGCCGCGUUCCGAGACGAGGAAGCCAAGUAGCUUUCCGGCCGGGACACCGAAGACGCAUUUUUCCGGGUUAAGCUUGACCUUGUAUUUGCGGAGGUUGGCGAAUGUUUCCUUCAAAUCGUCGAGGAGCGUGAGGUGUUGCUUGGUCUUCACCACGAUGUCGUCCAUGUACACAUGGAUAUUGCAGCCGAGUUGCGGCAGCAGGCAUUUCUGCAUGCAGCGCUUGAAGGUGGCACCGGCGUUCUUCAAGCCGAACGACAUGGUGAUGUAGCAAUACGCCCCAAAGGGCGUGAUGAAGGACGUCUUCAGGGCGUCGGCCGGGUCCAGCUUGAUCUGGUGGUAGCCGGAGUAAGCAUCCAGGAAGGACAGGAACUCACACCCGGCGGUCGAGUCGAUGACUUGGUCGAUCCGGGGGAGGGCAAACGGAUCCUUGGGACAGGCCUUGUUGAGGCUGGUGUAGUCGAUACACAUGCGCAGGAUCUUGUUCUUCUUCAGGACGAGGACUGGAUUGGCCAGCCACUCGGGGUGAAAAACUUCCAUUAUGAAGCCGGCCGCCAAAAGCUUGGCGACCUCUUCACCAAUAGUUCUUCUCUUCUCUUUGGAAAAUCGUCAUAGGGGUUGACGGACAGGCUUGGCGUCCUUGCGGACGUGAAGUUUGUGCUCGGCGUACUUCCUCGGGAUACCCGGCAUGUCCUUGGGGGUCCAUGUGAAGAUAUCCCGAUUCUCAUGGAGGAAGUCGACGAGCUCGCCUUCCUAUUUGCGGUCGAGGCGGGCGCCUAUGACAACGUACUUGCUGCAGCUGGGGUCUUCUGGGUUGAGCUUCACUUUCUUGGUCUCCUUGGAGGGCUUGAAGGCGGCCUCGUCGGCCGGGUCCAGGGUCGGGCUCGACGCGGCGGAGGCCUCGCCUGCCAGGGCGACGAUCAGGUCGAGCUGGCGCCGCUCCUCGGCAAUGACCAGCGACUCGGCCAACUUGGCGCCAUCUCGGGCGCACUCCAGGGACUUGCGGUAAUCGUCGGUGAUGGUGAUGAGGCCCUUGGGACCCGGCAUCUUCAUCUUCAGGUACGCGUAGUGAGGAACCGCCAUGAACUUGGCGAGCGCGGGCCGACCCAGCAACGCGUGAUAUGCGCUGGACAGGUCCACCACCUCGAACCAGAUCGGUUCACGCCGGAAGUGGCCGCUGUCACCGAACAAGACAUCUAGCCUGGCCCAGCAAAUGGGGGAGUAGGAGAGGCCGGGCACGAUGCCCUGGAAGGUCGUUCGGGUCGGCUCCAGGUCCUCGGUCUUGAGGCCGAGCUUGGUCAUCGUGUCGCGGUAGAGGAUGUUGAUGCUGCUGCCGGCCGUUGAUGAGGACUCGGGAGAACUUGCAUGUGCGCCGCGUGAUGAUGGUGGGGUUGAGGACGAGGGCGUAACCACCCGAACUCGGCAUGACUGCUGGGUGAUCCUCCCGGGUCCAGGUGAUCGGGCGAUCCGACCAAUGCAUGAACUCCGGCUUGGCCGGGACGACGGUGUUCACCUUCUGCCGAAGGAGGCGCUUGUUGCGCUUGUCGUCGCCGAGGCUGGUGAAGACGGUGUAGGCCGCAUUCUGGUCCGGGUAGGCAUCGUCGCGCAUCGCGCCGCCAGCUGGAGGCGGCGGUGGAGGCGGCUGUCCCGCGCCGGGAGCCGGAGCCGGAGGGGGUGGGACGUCGCCCCUCAUGAUGCGCUUGGUGAUGGCGCACUGCCGAAGCGUGUGCGUGGAGGGUUUUGCGCUGCUGUGGUGCUUGUAGGGGGCGUCAAGUAUCUGCUCGAAGCUCAUGGCGGGUUGCCAUGCCGUCUUGCCGGUUUGCCGGCGCUUCGCCGCCGGGUCCGCCGCGGACUCGGCAGCCGCGACGAGCCGGUUGUCAUUUCGCGGCGCCGGCUGGUCGGCCUUGCGCUUGUUGUUCUGCUGAUGCUGCUAUCGGCUCCUUUCGCCGGCCGGCUUCGGAGGGGGAACCGGCUUUGUCUUGCCGGCUUCAUCCAGCGCCACCUGGAUCUUCAUGGCAGAGUCGGCGGUGGCGUACAUGUCCGCCAUCACCAUGAGCACGGCCAUGGUGGCCGGCUCAGAGCGUAAGAUCUUGUGCUUGAGGAGGGUGCCGUCUCGGCACCCGCUGACGAAGUACUGGAUCGCCUGGACUUCAUGGACGCCCUCGCAGCUGUUCCGGAGCUCGGUCCAGUGUGCAAGGUACUCGCGACUGGUUUCCGUAGGCCCUUGCACGCACAUGGCGAGCUGGCUAGGGCGGCCGGGCCGCUUGUAGGUCCCCAUGAAGUUGCGGACGAAGGAUCCCUCGAAGUCCACCCACGUGUUGAUGCUGCCCAUCGGCAGGCUGUUCAACCACAUGUGGGCCGACCCUUGGAGCAUGAGCGGUGCAUAGCGCAUGGCGAGACGACGAUUGGCACCGGUGAUGCCAAUGGUCGUGGUGUAGUCGGUGAGCCAGUCUUCUGGUUUCACCGUCCCGUUGUACUUGGGGGUGUCGCGGGGGAGCAUGAAUCCUUUGGGGAAGGGCUCCUCCUGGAUACGCGGGCCGAAGCACGUUGGCCCGAUAGCGCCGCUCUCGUCCACCUCUAGGGAGCGAGCGAGCCGGUCGAGGCGGUGGCGAGUGUUGGCGUCGUCGAUGGCACGCGGGCCAAGUCGACUUGCGGCCAGGCCACGGGGGGCCGGGUCGGUUGGAGCCGGACGCCGGCCAUGCUGGCCGGGUCCGCACUGGAUCUCUAGGACGGACUCGUCACCCAAUCGGCCGGCGACUGUAGCGGCCGGGUCGCGCCGAGUCCGGGCUCGGCCGGAGUGCGCCUCGCCAGGUGGUGAGGAAGCGGUGUGCAGAAGUUCGCCGGGCCCGCCAAGGCGGGCGGAGCCGGAUCCCGCCGACUUGGCGAGCUGGUUGAGGCGGUCCUGCUGGGUGUUGGCGGCAUGGAGGAGUUCGUGCAUCCACCCGAUGCGCUCUUUUAGCUCCUCACUUGCGAGCUGGUCCAGGCCAGUUGCGGCUGCUUGGGCAGGACGCAUAUUCUUUGUUGGGGUCUCGUAGAGGGUUGGGACAACACCGAGGGCCCGGCCGAUCGCUCCUCCCCGGGCACGCACGUCGACGACCCGGCUUGGGUCGGCCGCGGCGGGCGUGAAUCCAUAGGCGGCAUCGCGCUCCAGCUGGGCGGCGUCCAGGCGACGCUGAGUGACCGCGAGUGUCUCGGACAGGUCCAGCAUCUGCUGGCGCCUUUCCUCGAGCUGGGUUCGGGACUCAGCGACGUUGGUGGCGUCGACGUCGGUGCCGAUGGGGAUGCGGAGGCUCUGCAUCAUGGCGCGCAACGGAUCAGACGGCUCGAUCCGAUCCGUUGCGGCCUUGGCUUCGGCAGCCUUCCUCGUCUUGCUCGACGAGGAGGAGGCGUCGUCACCGGUGACGAAGACCUCCACGUGGACAUCCAUUGCCCCGGCGGAAAUGCCGUCGCCGAGGGAGAGGGGAGAGUCGGAGUAGCUGAGCACCUCGCUGGGGUACUCAUUGGCCGCGAACGCAUCAGAGAUGCGCAGCGCGGCGAAGGAGGUGACAAGCGCGCCGAUGACGUCAUCCGCCAGCGCGACGGACUCGUCGGUGUAGGAGAAGGGCCCCGUCUGAAGCAUGUUCCCGGCCAGCUCCUCGAGCUGCCCCACGGUGGGCGCCAACUGUCGUGGUGGGCGCACGGCAGAUGCCCAGGGAUGGCUAAAGAGAGGAGGAGGCUCGAGGGCGCUUGUGGGCUCCAGAGGCGAGGUUGGCAUGAGCGGGCGCGGGACGCCAGACAUACCCAGGUUCGGGGCUCUCCGGAGAGAUAAUACCCCUAGUCCUUCCGAGUGUAGUUGGAUGAUCGGUAGUACAAUGUUGCUCCUGGAGCUGUAUGGAGGAGGAAGGAAGCUGGCCAAGGCUUGGGCUGCUCAUUCUCUCCGGUGUCGCUAUUGUGUGGCUAGUCCUAUGCUUGCUUGCUUUUCUCUCGUAUGUGUCUUCUGCUUUCUCUCUUGUUCUGUUGCCUCAUGAUCGUGGGCUCCCGGGGGGUUUUAUAGUCCAACCCCCUGGGGGUACAAUGGUAAUGUUACAAGUUGGUGGGUCCGUAUUGUCGGUGUCCGGGAACCCGGGCUGGGUCCCGCUGAGGGCUUGUGGUUCGUCGGGUUCCCCUAGGUGCGGGCCCCACAUGCCUAGGAGGACUAUGCGCCGUCUUGUCGAUCGUCAGGGCAUGGCCGAGUCAAGUCGUGUACAGUGCUCUCCAUCAGGUUGCCGCUUGUUGUCGUCAGUGGUGAAGGCGGGGGCACUGUAGCCACGCCAGCUCUGGUCAGCGGGUAGGUGAGGGGCACUAUUGCCAAGUUCCUGCUGACCAAAGGCAUGGGCGGGGCACUGUUACCUCGGUCAUUGUUGAUUGAAGUCUCGUCCCAUCAUACGGCCUGGAUGGGACGGGAGUUGACCCGUGGCUGGAUUGUGUAGCACGCCACAGAUGGUGCUGGCUUGUCGAGGAGGCUUCGGUUGUGCCGGGUUCGGCUGUCUUGCGCUAGUUGUCGGGGCCGAGUCGACGUGUCUUGCCGGGUCGGCUAGUCUGGCCGGCUUGCGGGGCUUGGUCGGGUCGAGCAACCCGGCCAAGCGCGUGCCGGUAUUGAUGUAGCGACCCAACCUCAAACGGUCAAGCCUCUGUGUAUCCGUGCCAUCCCUGGAUCGGUAUGCUGGCACACACAGUACAUCAAUGUAUAUAUCAAAGUACAAUCACAUGUAUAAAUAACGUAAAACUGAUAUAUACCUCAUAAGUCUCAGCGGAAACAAACAUAAGGGUGUGGAGUCCAUCAACGCCAAUGGCAAGUUGAGUAUAGACCGUAACCCUACAACGUAACUCUUACUCAUCGUAGAAAAUUCCUGCAACAUAAGACAUUGCAGCCCUGUAGGUCAGUACAUUGAAUGUACUGGCAAGUCACAUCAUAAGAAUAAUGAACCUAUUGUACAUGCAAUUUGGCUGGUGGAAAGCUCUAAGUUUAGUUUUUGCAUAAAGCUAGUUUUUCCCUAGAAUAAAAGAUAUUAUUCUACCACUACUAUAUAGCAUAGGAUGAGUUGGCAAACCCAACUCAAUCCAUUCCCAAGGUUUCAUUUAAAACCCAACUAUUUAAUUAAGAGUGAUGAGAUCUCCCAGCAUUUCCACUACUAGAUGCUCAAGUUGUCCGUAACCGGGGACAUGACUAAUCGAUUAGGUUUUAACACUCUGCAGAGGUUUGCGCACUUUUCCCCACAAGACUCGAUCGCCUCCCUUGAAGUUCUCGCACUGCCUGGCGUUUGAGAACAGGAUGACCGAGACAUAGUCUUUCGAAAAUGUUCCCCCUUGACCCACGGAUAGGCCGGUACACCUACAUCAUUCUACAUCUGUUAGCCCAUCCCGGAAGGGGUCACACUAACUACUCAACUAAGCCAGAGCCCAUAUUGGCUUGUGGCUGCACAUGUAAGCUUCUAGACAUGAGAAUACAUUUGAUCUCUUUGAGCCUGGGCGGUCGACCACUAGUGGUGCACCACCAUGGAUUAACCAUGCAUGCUCCCACUAUACUUCACCACCAUUCAAACCAAAUACCGCCCAGGUAGUUCAUUUACAAGUCUUGGUCCUGAUUACUACUUUGUCACUCAUGUCUCACCAUGUUCGCUUCCCAAACCACGUCUACAUUUAGCAAGGCAAAAACAAACUUACACGGUGGUGACAAGGGUGUAUAGAUCAGACCUACCUCAAAUGAACUACUAGGUAACGGCAUAGCCAUCUGGCAACAAUAAAUCCUAUCAUGCAAUCCUACCACAAAAGGACUAAGUGUGUAAUAUAAACAUAGGUAAUUGGAAGAAUGGUCAAAUGUGAACUUGCCUGGUAAUAGUUGAUGAAGAUGAUAUCGCUCUCAAAAAUUUACUUAAUAGAACUAUUCAUCACUCUCCGAUGAAAAUCUAUAAAGUCAAACAUUGCACUCACAUAAGCAAUCAUUUCAGAGAACCAAGAAGAACAUGCAAAGCAAAAGUCUAGGAAAACCAAAUGAACAUUCAACACACUUAACUAGCAUGGAAAUAUCCUAAGUGCAAAACAACAUGUGACAUAGGGUGCAAAGAUGUGAUGUGUACUAAAGUGCAUACAUGGCAUAAUAGUAAAACUAUCAUAGACAGGCCAUUUUUGUGCGGAAAAUGUGUGACAAUGGUCCAAGUGGUAGGGUUUGGCUACGGUGAGAUGGUGCAAAAAGAAUCACAUCAAUCGGAGCUACAGUUUAGGAGAUAUGGCCAAUUGAAGUUUGAAUUCAAAUCUGAAUAAAGUUCAACUUUGAAUUUAGUCAAAAGUUUUCAAAAUUGGUUUUCUGGAUAAAUCUAUUCGAGACGAACAUUUUGCCACUGGUUUCAUCGAAUUUGGAGUUAUGGUUAAAAAGAUACGACCAUUCGAAGUUUAAGGGCUAAACUGAAAUUUACAGGGACUUGACUAUGAAAGUUUUAUUAGCGACCAGGUCCCUGGCCACAUGGUGGCUUCCUAUUGGCCGAGCAGCAUUCUUUGCGGAAGCUAUUCGGCGAACGGCCGCUACCUAAGCAAAACAACUACCGCGGCAACAAAAAAAAGCGGAGACCGAUUUUUAACUAAACCCCACGGUUUAUUUAAAACCGUGGUUAACCGAUCUAAUCCAAAUAAAUAAAAAAAACUAAACUAAACGAACGAGGCGGAGGCUCGGCUUACAGCGGCGACGACGACAGGAGACGACGGCACAGGCGUCGGGCGUCGCGCGACGGACAAGGCGGCGGCUCCGGUGGUCCUCAGCGGCGGCGAAGGGGUCGGGGAGGUCGGGUGCGCCGUGGGCGGUGUGCUGGUGGGGUCGGUGGGUGGCGGGGUGGCCAGUGACGAGCGGAGGGAGGCGGCGGAACUCUGGUGCUCCGGCGAGGACGCGGGUCGUCGGGGCGUCGUCUCCGGUGGUCCCUAGGGGCAAAAACCAAGUCAACUGGAUGCGGUAGAUCGAGAGAAUGAGAUUGACAGAGAGAUUGGAGGCCGGGGUGGUCUACGAGCAACAAAAACAACGGCGAGGUCCUCCGCCUCCGGCGAGGUCCCACUGACGAAGGCGGCGGCUGUGAUGAGCGAGGGGCGAGCGAAGUGGCAGAAUCGAAUGAGGGGCAUCGGGGGCAUUUAUAGGCGCGAGGAGGGGCUGCGGAGUUGCGGGGAUGAGGCUUAUCCCAAGAGCAAUGGCGUCGGUUGCGGGCGCGGCUCGUGCUCUAUCCCGAGCGGGACAAAUGGGAGGUUGGGGACGGUGGCUUGGGCAGCGGGCCCCACCUGGCAGCGGCAGCUGCGUGCGAGCGAGCGGGAGACAUCGGGCGUGCGAGGCGCUCGGGCGGCCUGGGACGGCCUGGCCGGUCGGGCACUAGGCCAGCUGGCCAGUUGGCCAGUGGGCCGCGCGGCUGGGUGGCUGCUGGGCUGGCUGGCCAGCGCAUGCGUGCGUGUAUCUUUUUUUUUACAGAACAACAACUACAACAGAGCAAAAAUAAAAAUAAAACAAAAAUUACAUAGGCAUAUUAUAUACCAAAAUGCUCGGAAAAAUACCAAGAAUAAGAUGAACUAUUUUCCAAGUUCAAAUAAAAUCCAAAAUAAAUCAUAAAAGUCAAACAAUGCUGUUGUUACAUUUAAAAUCAAUAAAAAUCAUUUUUAAAAUAGCAAAAUGAUUUCAAAUUCAUUUUCUCCUAAUUUUAUAUUGUAGGGAAUCAUUUUACCCUUAUUUCCAUUUAUUUAUUUUUAGGAGAAAAAUAUUUUGAAUAGAAAUCAAAUAACUCCCAAUUGGAUUUGAAUUUGGAAUUUCAAACAACUUCAAAUGGAAAAUGAGUUUCAAAUAACUUCAAAGUGACUUCCAAUUUAUUCCUUUGAAACUUCCAACUCUCUUUCUUCAAAUAUGAAGAAGUCAUUUUAUCUUCCCUCAUGAACUCAUUGAGUUGCUUAAAGUUUCCAAGAUUGAAAUAUUUCAAAAUGGAAUUCAAAUUAUUUUCAAACCCCUUUUCAUUUCUUUAAAUGGAAGAAGUCAUAUCAUCUUCACUCUAGGGUUUUGUGAGGAAAUGAAUUUGAAUUCAGGAAGAUCAAAAUGCAAGAUGCAAAGUUUUGGGAAAGUCCUUUUAUUCCCUCUCAUUCAACUUUCAAAAACUUUUCAAUUUCCAACCAUUUUCACACAAUCAAUCACACAACAAUAAAACAAACAAUCAUAAUAAUUUAUUUAAUAUAACAUUCCAAAAUUUAGAAUUUUGGGAUGUUACAAUUGAGGGGCAGUGCCAACCCCGUUGUUUUUCGAGGAGGAUCCGGGUUCCGUUGCCUGCCCGGGGUCCAUGCCCCCGACAGAAAACCAACGCAAUGCUCAAGAGGUAGCAGGAAGGGAGAAGGAAAGGGGAGGAUUCGGCCUUCCCCUUUCCUUCCCCUCCCCCUUCUCUUUCCUUCCCCCUCCAAUGCAUAUGGAAGGGGGGAGGCCGACUUGGAUGAGGCACCUGAUGUCGCUUGAACCUACGUCGGUAUUUCCCUAAAGAGGAAGGGAUUAUGCAGCACAUCAGCGAUAGGUAUUUCCCUCAGAUAUGAAACCAAGGUUAUUGAACCAGUAGGUGAACCAAGCAACACAACGUAAACAACCCCUGCACACAAAUAACAAAUACUCGCAACCCGACGUGUUAAAGGGGUUGUCAAUCCCUUCCGGGUAACGGCGCCAGAAAUUGGUGUGUGACGGGAGAAAGUUGUAAUAGAUUGAAUAAAUAGAUCGCAAAUAAAAUAAAGUGCAGCAAAGUAUUUUUGGGUUUUUGGAUUCAUAGAUCUAAAAAUAAAAGCAAAUAAGAGUAGAUCGCGAAGGCAAAUAAUAUGAGAAAGAGACCCGGGGGCCGUAGGUUUCACUAGUGGCUUCUCUCGUGAAAUAGCAAACGGUGGGUGAAAAAAUUACUGUUGGGAAAUUGAUAGAACUUCAAAUACUCAUGACGAUAUCCAGGCAGUGAUCAUUACAUAGGCAUCACGUCCAAUAUUAGUAGACCGACUCCUGCCUGCAUCUACUACUAUUACUCCACACAUUGACCGCUAUCUAGUAUGCAUCUAGUGUAUUAAGUUCAUGGAGAAACGGAGUAAUGCAAUAAGAACGAUGACAUGAUGUAGACAAGAUCUAUCUAUGUAGAGAUAGACCCCAUCGUUUUAUCCUUAGUAGCAACGAUACAUACGGGUGGGUUCCCCUUCUGUCACUGGGAUCAACCACCAUAAGAUCGAACCCACUACAAAGCACCUCUUCCCAUUGCAAGAUAAAUAGAUCAAGUUGGCCAAACAAAACCCAAAUAUCAGAGAAUAAAUACGAGGCUAUAAGCAAUCAUGCAUAAAAGAGAUCAAAGAAACUCAAAUACUUUCAUAGAUAUAAAAAGGAUAGAUCUGAUCGUAAACUCAAAGUUCAUCGGAUCCCGACAAACACACCGCAAAAGAGUUACAACAUACGGAUCUCCAAGAGACCAUUCUAUUGAGAAUCAAGAGAGAGAGAGAGAUGAAGCCAUCUAGCUACUAACUACGGACCCGAAGGUCUACAAAGAACUACUCACGCAUCAUCGGAGAAGCACCAAUGGAGGUGGUGAACCCCAUCCGAGAUGGUGUCUAGAUUGGAUCUGGUGGUUUUGGACUCUGCAGCGGCUGGAUCAAUAUUUUGUCGACUCCCCUAGGGUUUUGGGAAUAUUGGGGUAUUUAUAGAGCAAAGAGGCAGUCCGGGGGGCACCCGAGGUGGGCAUAACCCACCAGGGCGUGCCCUGGUGGGUUGUGCUCCCCUCGGGGCACCCCCCGGCGCAGCCAGGGCCCAUUGUGUUCCUUCCGGACCAUAAAAAAUCCCCGUAAAGUUUCGUGGCAUUUGGACUCCAUUUGAUAUUGAUUUUCUGCGAUGUAAAAAACAUAGAAAAAAACAGCAACUGGCACUUGGCACUAUGUCAAUAGGUUAGUACCAAAAAUGAUAUAAAAUGACUAUAAAAUGAUUAUAAAACAUCCAACAUUGAUAAUAUAACAGCAUGGAAGAAUAAAAAAAGUAUAGAUACAUUGGAGACAUAUCAGCAUCCCCAAGCUUAACUCCUACUCGUCCUCGAGUAGGGAAGUGAUAAAAACAGAAUUUUUGAUGUGGAAUGCUGCCUAACAUGUCAUACCAUAAUAUUUUCUCUAUAGCAUGGACAUUUGGACUUUUAUAUUGUUCAAAGCAAUAGUCUAGUUUUGACAUGAUAAUUUAAAUACUCAAGCAUAUCAACAAGCAACCAUGUCUUUCAAAAUAUCAACGCUAAAAUAAGCUAUCCCUAGCCGAUCAUGAUCAACCAUUGAUUCAUUCAUGAAACACACUCGCAUAUUAGCUACUCCCAAUACUCAAGUACGAUCAUAUUGCGUCCUAGUUGGUGCUUUUAUAAGAGAAGAUGGAUACUCAAAUUCAAAAAAAUCCAUAAAGUAAAAAAGAAAGGCCCUUCACAUCGGGAAGUAAGGAUUUGUAGAGGUGCCAGAGCUCAAAGCGUAAAAUUUAGAGGUAAAAACAUUUUGGGAGGUGUAUCCAUCCCACCAACGAAAACGACUUAGAGUUCCCAACACUUUCCAUGCUAAAUAUAUCAUAGGUGGUUCCCAAACAGAAAAUAAAGUUUAUUCCUUUUUCCACCAUACUUUCACUUUCCAUGGCUAACUGUAUCCAUGGGUGCCCUCCAUAACAACACUUUCCAAGGAAUUUAUUAUUUGGCAACAUAAAGUAAAUUCAUUUUUUCAUUUCGGGACUGGGCAUCCCUAAUACCUUUGCCUUACUCUCGUGCAAUGACAAGUGAAUAAACACUCAUCUUGAGAAUAACACAUCUAACAUGGAAAAUAUUUGCCACCCCUCACCGCUCCACGAGCGAAACGAACACACAAAAGAGAAGUUUAUUUUCGAAAAUUAGAGAUGGCACAUGAAAAUUUUCUUAGAACGGCAAAAGAAUACCGCAUAUAGGUAGAUAUAGUGGACUCAUGUGGCAAAACUAGGUUAAAGGAUUUUGGAUGCACAAGUAGUGAUCACACUUAGUGCAAAAUGAAGGCUAGCAAAAGAUUGAGAAGCGACCAACCAAGAAACGAAUAAUCUCAUAAGCGAGCAUUAAGCAUAACUAACAUCGAAUAAUGCACCACAAGUAGGAUAUAAUUUCAUUGCAUCACUAUUGACUUUCGUGCUUGCAUAGGGAAUCACAAACCUUAACAUCAAUAUUCUUACUAAAGCAUAAUUACUCAUCAAGAUGACUCACAUAUCACAUCAUCAUAUCUCAAAAUUAUUACUAAGAAUCAAGUUUAUUUUGUCCAAUGAUCUUCAUGAAAGUUUUUAUUAUAUCCUUCUUGGAUAUCUAUCACUUUGGGACUAAUUUUCAUGUGUUGCUUUUCAUAAGCUCAAACAAAUAUAAGUGAAGAUCAUGAGCAUAAUUUUUCUUUCUCUCAAAUUAAUUUAAGUGAAGCAAGAGAGAAUUUCUUAAAAAAUUUACUAACUCUCAAAUAAAUCUAAGUGAAGCAAGAGAGCAUUUCUUCAAAAAUACUAAGCACACCGUGCUCAAAAAGAUAUAAGUGAAACACUAGAGCAAGUCCAUAGAUCAUAAAAAUUUAAGUAAAGCAUAGAGCAAUUCUAACAAGUCAUGACCUAAUUUUGGCUCUCUCAAAUAGAUGUGUCUAGUAGGGGAUCAAGACUUAAAACACAAAAUAAAACAAGCAAAGUCUCAAAUCAUACAAGACGCUCCAAGCAAAACACAUAGUAUGUGACAAAUAAAAAUAUAGCUUCGAGUAAAAUACCGAUGGUCAUUAGAAGAAAGAGGGGAUGCCACUCGGGGGCAUCCCCAAGCUUAGUUGGUUGCUCAUUUUUGGAUAAUAGCUUGGGAUGCUGGGGCAUCCCCAAGCUUAGGCUCUUCUACUCCUUAUUCCUUCAUCCAUCGUAAGAUAACCCAAAACUUGAAAACUUCAAUCACACAAAACUCAACAAAACCUUCAUGAGAUCCGUUAGUAUAAGAAAAUAAUAAAUCACUACUAUAAGUUUUGUAUCAAAUCAAUUAAUGUUUUGUUCUUGCAUUAUAUCUACUGUAUUCCAGCUUUUCUAUGGCAAAACUCAUCAAAGAAAACCAUAGAUCCAUCAAAAUAAGCACACAACACAAAGAAAACAGAAUCUAUCAAAAUAGAACAGUCUGUAGUAAUCUGACUAUUUCGAAUACUUCUGUAACUCAAAAAGUUCUUAAAAAUUAGGAAGACCUGAGCAAUUUGUAUAUUGAUCUACUGCAAGUGGAAUGGGUAUUUUAUCGCUCUCCGGUAAAAAAUGAGAAUUAUUUUUGUGAGAGCAAAAAUUUCUGUUUUUUCCCCAAGAUCAAACAACUAUCACCCAAGAAGAUUCUAAAGGCUUUAGCUGGCACAAACACUAAUUAUAACACAAAAAACACAAUCAUAAUAGUAUCAUAAUUGUGCUAGCACUCAAAAACAGGAAGCAAAAAAGCAAAGUUAAAUUUUAUUCAUUGGGUUGCCUCCCAACAAGCACUAUAGUUUUACGCCCUUAGCUAGGCAUAAAUUUUUUUUGAUGCUCGCAUGAAAGAUAAUAAUUGCAACACAAAGAGAGCAUCAUAAAACAUGUGAAAAACAUAUUUAAGUCUAACAUACUUCCUAUGCAUAGGAAAUUUAUAAGAAACAAAUUAUCAAUACAAUAAAUAUAUAGCAUAUGCAAAGGAGAUGAAUAAACAUUGACAAUCUCAACAUAACAAGAGGUAAUUUAGUAACACAAAAAUUUCCACAACCAUAUUUUCCUCUCUCAUAAUAAUUACAUGUAAGAUCAUAAUAAAAUUCAACUAUAGCUAUCACACAAAAUAUUCUCUUCAUGAUCCGCAUGCAUGCAAAGUUGACACUCUUCCAAAAUAGUGGGAUUAUCAUCAAAUAAAGUCAUGACCUCUCCAAAACCACUUUCAUCAAAAAUUUCAUAAGACUGAACACUCUCCAAAUAUGUGGGGUUAUUUUUAGCUAAAGUUGAUACUCUUCCAAACCCACUUUCAAUAUUAUCGCAAACAUAUUCAUGAUCAGGCUUAAAUAAAUUUUCAAGAUCAUAAGAAACAUCACCCCAAUCAUGAUCAUUGCAACAAGUAGUGGACAUAGCAAAAUUAGCAUCCCCAAGCUUGGGGUUUCGCAUAUUAUUAGCACAACUGACAUUAAUAGAAUUUAUAGUAAAAGCAUUGCAAUCAUGCUUUUCAUUCAAGGAGCUAUCAUGAAUCACUUCAUAAAUUUCUUCAUCACAAUGCAAAACUUCAUAAAGAUAAUCUAGUGCACUCAACUCACUAGCAAUUGGUUCAUCAUGAUUGGAUCUUUUAAAAAGAUUAGCAAGUGGAUGAGGAUCCAUAUCAAUAGAUUUUUAGCAAGCAAAGAUGCAAGCAAAUAAAAGGCACAUGGUAACCCAAGCAAACAAUAGAUCUGACGAGAAAAUGGUGAACGAAAAAGAGGGCGAAUAAAAACGGCAAAUUUUUGUGAAGUGGGGGAGAGGAAAAUGAGAGGCAAAUGGAAAAUAGUGUAAAUUGCGAGGAGAUGAGAUUUGUGAUUAGGAACCUGGUAUCUGUUGAAGAUACUCCCCGGCAACGGCGCCAGAAAUUCCUUUUGAUGUCGCCUGAAGCCACGUCGGUAUUUCCCCAAAGAGGAAGGAAUGAUGCAGCACAGCGGCGGUAGGUAUUUCCCUCAGAUAUGAAACCAAGGUUAUCGAACCAGUAGGAAAACCAAGCAACACACCGUUAACAGCCCUUGUACACAAAUAACAAAUACUCGCAACCCGACAUGCUAAAGGGGUUGUCAAUCCCUUUCGGGUAACGGUGCCAGAAAUUGGUGUGUGGCGGGAGAAAGUUGUAAUAGAUUGAAUAAAUAGAUCGCAAAUAAAAUAAAGUGCAGCAAAGUAUUUUUGGUUUUUUGGAUUAAUAGAUCUGAAAAUAAAAGCAAACAAAAGUAGAUCGCAAAGGCAAAUAAUAUGAGAAAGAGACCCGGGGGCCGUAGGUUUCACUAGUGGCUUCUCUCGAGAAAAAUAGCAAAUAGUGGGUGAACAAAUUACUGUUGGGUAAUAGAUAGAACUUAAAAUACUCAUGAUGAUAUCCAGGCAAUGAUCAUUACAUAGGCAUCACGUCCAAGAUUAGUAGACUGACUCCUGCCUGCAUCUACUACUAUUACUCCACACAUCAACCGCUAUCCAGCAUGCAUCUACUGUAUUAAGUUCAUGGAGAAAUGGAGUAAUAUAAUAAGAAUGAUUACAUGAUGUAGACAAGAUCUAUCUAUGCAGAGAUAGACCCCAUCGUUUUAUCCUUAGUAGCAACGAUACAUACAUGUCGGUUCCUCUUCUGUCAUUGGAUCAAGCACCGUAAGAUCGAACACACUACAAAGCACCUCUUCCCAUUGCAAGAUAAAUAGAUCAAGUUGGCCAAAAGAACCAAAUAUAAGAGAAUAAAUAUGAGGCUAUGAGCAAUCAUGCAUAAAAGAGAUCAAAGAAACUCAAAUACUUUCAUGGAUAAAAAAAGAUAGAUCUGAUCAUAAACUCAAAGUUCAUCGAAUCCCAACAAACACACCACAAAAGAGUUACAUCAUGGAUCUCCAAGAGACCAUUGUAUUGAGAAUCAAGAGAGAGAGAGAGAUGAAGCCAUCUAGCAACUAACUACGGACCCGAAGGUAUACAAAGAACUACUCAUGCAUCAUCGGAGAGGCACCAAUGGAGGUGGUGAACCCCAUCCGAGAUGGUGUCUAGAUUGGAUCUGGUGGUUCUGGACUCUGUGGUGGCUGGAUCAAUAUUUCGUCGACUCCCCUAGGGUUUUGGAAAUAUUGGGGUAUUUAUAGAGCAAUGAGGCGGUCUUGGGGGCACCCGAGGUGGGCACAACCCACCAGGGCGUGCCUGGGCCUCCUGGCGCGCCCUGGUGGGUUGUGCUCCCCUCGGGGCACCCCAGGCGCAGCCAGGGCCCUUGUGUUCCUUCUGGUCCAUAAAAAAUCUCGGUAAAGUUUCGUGGCAUUUGGACUACGUUUAAUAUUGAUUUUCUACGAUGUAAAAACAAAAAAACAUCAACUGGCACUUGGCACUAUGUCAAUAGGUUAGUACCAAAAAAUGAUAUAAAAUGAUUAUAAAACAUCCAAGAUUGAUAAUAUAACAGCAUGGAACAAUCAAAAAUUAUAGAUACGUUGGAGACGUAUCAGCGCCCAAGUAGGAUUACUCCUACUUGGGGCGCCCCUUGCAGCCCAUCUCCCUCUCCCACCUAUAUAUAUGUGGGGGGGCACCACUAGAACACACAACAUUGAUUCCUAGCCGUGUGCGGCGCCCCCCUCCACAGUUUACGCCUCCGGUCAUAUUCACAUAGUGCUUAGGCGAAGCCCUGCGUGGAUCACUUCACCAUCACUGUCACCACGCCAUCGUGCUGACGAAACUCUCCCUCCACACCUUGUUGGAUCAAGAGUAUGAGGGACGUCAUCGAGCUGAACGUGUGCAGAACUCGGAGGUGUCGUACGUUUCGUGCUUGAUCGAUCGGAACGAGAAGAAGUUCGACUACAUCAACCGCGUUGUCAAACGCUUCCGCUUUCGGUCUACGAGGGUACGUGGACACACUCUCCCCUUAUCGUUGUUGUGCAUCUCCUAGAUAGAUCUUGCAUGGGCAUAUGAAAUUUUUUGAAAUUGCAUGCUACGUUCCCCAACAAGAAGGAGAUUGAGCGGCUAACUAAAGAACUAAACACUCUUAAGUUAGCUCAUGAAACUACCUUGGAAGAUCAUCGAGAACUUUUAAAGACUCAUGACAAGCUACACUUUGAAAAGCUCAACCUUGAGAAAGAACAUGAGUUUUUAAAGGCAAUCAAUGAUGAUCUUCGCAAGAAAAGUUCUUCUUACAUUGCCAAGCAUUUACUCUUGUCUACUUACAUGCCAUAAGUUAAAUCUAGUAACAAGUAGAAGAAAUAUUCUUCAUCUAGUAGUAAAAACAAUCAUGCUAAAUCCAAUGUUGUUGCUUCUAGUAUCCCUCUUGAUUACACUAAUGAUUCUCUUAGCCAAGUUACACUUGAGCAAGAAAAUAGCAUAUUGAAGGGAAUUAUAGAGAAAGGUGUUUACAAGAGCCUUGCCGGAAGUAAGCAUUUUGAGGAAACAGUACACAAGCAAGGAAGACACCGGAAGAAUCAAGGUGUUGGUUUUGAACAAAAGUUCAAUGCCAAUGGAGUUGAGUGGGAAGAAGAUCAAUACCCCAAGACAAAGUUUGUUCCUCAACAAGAGAAGUAUGAUCCUACUUCUUUCAAAGGAACACAAUCUCAAGAUGAUCUUCCACCACAAGAGCACAAGCAAAAAGGCAAGGACAAGCUUCAAGAGGAGAUUGAUGCAUUCGAGGAGGCACCCAAGGCCUUGGUCAAGUGGGUUCCCAAGACUACAUCAAGUUCUACUUCAUCAAGUACAACUACAACUCCAAGGAUUCCCAUCAAGAUGGUGUGGAUCCCGAAGAAGAAGAACUAGAGAAUUCUUGAGGGUGACUCCGCCAACCUACUUCACUCUUAUCAUUUUGGCAAGGACAAGUGCAAACAACUUUCAUAUCUUGCACUAGUUCAAGGAGUCACAAACCCUCUUGUUGGUACGACAAGGGACAAGGUAACCUAAUGCUUCCAUGGACAUCAUCUUGUGUACACAUCACUCUAUGUCUAUGGAUAUCCUUGUUUGUUCCUUGUGGGACUAACCCAUGUAGGUAUUGAAAGUGCAACUCAUUCCAAAGGAUUGCUCUGAAUGAUCUACAUCAACAUUGAGCAUCCACAUCUUCAACACCUACAUGAAGUCAUCGUCGGCAAAACCCAAGGUUAGUUGAUCCCUCUUAGGGGGGAUAUCACAUCUAGGGGGAGCUUUACUCUAAUCAAUUGAGUUAAAGCAACUCUAAUGGUGUGAACACAACAAUGCUUUAUGAAAAAGUGGUAACCCCACUUGUGCUUAAACGAUGAGUAUGACCUAUGAUCAAAUGUUCUCAUUUGACUCCUAAGUCAAUAUACUUAUAUAUAGAUGACCUAGUCAUCACCAAUUGCUUGAUAGAUGCUAGAGUGUUUGUGCAUGCUUUGUCACAUAUUUCUUCUGCCAUCUUAUUGUGUGAGCAUGUUGGUUGCAUAUUUUACUCAUUCGAGGACAUCCAUUUGUUGCUUUGAUUGUUUGGACUUUUCUCUUUUGCCAAAUGGAUGUACAAGAAUGCCUAAGAACUCCCUCUAUCUAUCUAUGCUUUUCUCGUCUCAAACUCUAUUCAUGCUACAUCACAAAGUUUGAUCAAGUCAGAUUCAAACCACUCUGUGUGAGGAGCACUCGGAGUUCCCGGUUCGUCAUAGACUUAAACUUCCAGAAUCUCUUUGUGUAUUUUAGUCUGACUGAUUCAUCCUUUUCGGUCCUACCGAGAUCACUUAGUUGAUCUAGGUUUUCAAUCUCGGUGCAACCAAUUAGAACCUAUCAGUCACACCGAGUUGCAGUAACUGCCUGCAGUUUUACAUCUCGGUGCCACCGAGUUGUUCCACUCGGUCACACCGACAGGGUCAGGUUAUAUAUACCGACGGGCCAAAUUUUGGAAAAAUUUCCGAAACCUCUUCGCCCGCGCAUAACCUACUCUGUCUCUUCGGGUCUCCGGAUCAUCCUCUCAUCGCGAGCGAACUCCUGUCGUUGGUCUCCGCCGCCGUCAAUGGCAAUCUGCCCCGCCGUUGCCACCAUAGCAAGUUCGCCGCUGAACUAGGGUACGAACUUGAUCUUUGUGCUAAUCCAUAACUCUGAUUCUUAGCACAUUGCUUUGCCAUGGUUCUUGCCAUGAAUGAAAUCAUCCUGUCCAGCGAAAAUGUCCCAUAGAUUAGUUUUGAUUUGAAAAUUUAGGGUUAGGUCUCCGCCGAAUUCAUCUCGGGCCAACCAAGUUGUAGAAAUCGGUCUCACCGAUUUGGCUUAGGCCAUUGCACACGCGUUUUCGGUCUGACCGAGAAUUGCAAAUCGGUGUGACCGAGUUCAAUUCUCUGUGAAACCCUAGCAGUCUCGGUGACACCGAACUGUGACUCGGUCUGACCGAGUUCACUAGUUUAGGUUCCAAAACUGCUUCGGCAUCACCGAGUUUACAAAUCGGUAGAUCCGAAAUGCUUUCUGUGAAGACCUAAAACUAAGUUUUUGAGUCAAUUGUUUUGAAAAACUCCUGUACUUUGUGAUGCUCAUCUACUCUACCUCAUCUAUAAUCUAUUCACAGGGUCUGCUAAUAAUUUGCCUGCAAGAUGUCUGAUCAAAGUGACAACCAAAACAAGUCUGAACAGCAGGUGCAUAUGAGUGAGGGCACUAGUCCCUUCAGUUCUUCUGAUGAUGGCAGCAGGAGCACACCAAGUAACUUGCCAAAGGCAGCUACCAGGACAAGGAAGAAGAAAACUUCUGAUUCAGAGGAUGAAGAUUAUGUGGCUGUUGAGGAUGAGGCCACUUCAAAGAAAAAGGUGCUAAAAAGGAGUACGGCUCAGCUGCUACAGUCAAGCCAGGGAUGCAUAAGAAGGCACCAGCAAAGAGAGUCCCCAUGUCUAGGGCCAGAGCAUCCACUGCUGAAACCUCCAAGCCAUCUGAAGAGGCAGUUGGAGAAGGAAAGAAAAGGAAGGAAAGGGUCAAGAAUACCACUGCUAGAGUGCUUGGCAGAUCAUCAAUUAUGAGAGAUGAUGAUGAAGAGGAAGAGGAUGCUGCACCAGCACCCAAAGCACAAAAGCUCAUGGGAGAUGCAAUCAGAUCAGGGGCUGCUCCAUCUAAGCCCAAAACUGCUCCCAAGGCUACUGCUCCAGCUCAGAAGCCCAAGAGAAGCACUAGAAACAUUUUUGCUGAGGAAAAGAACAAGGCCCUAGUGCCUGAAGCUGCUGAAGAAGAAGAUUACUCAGUUGUGUUGUGGAAGCUAAAACCCAAGAUCCCUCACCAGGGUGAUGCACAUCCAGUUGCAGAAAACAUGAAAAUCAGGAAGGAUGCAGGAUUGAGACUAUGGAGACAGUCCGAUCCAUAUGCUGUCAAGAGAAGAACUGCUGUGGAUUACAUGUUUCACACCAAGGAACAGCAGAACUUCUAUGAGACAGUGUUGCUUGACAAGAAGCCCAUUGUAUGUGACAUGAAAUGGGUGGAUUAGGAAUACAUCUAGAAGAAUGAAGAUCACUAUCCUGGAGUAUAUGAUAGCUUUAAGGCAUGUGGAGUUGAUGAAUUCGUUGCACAAAAGCUCACCAAGUGGAAUGAUGAGCUGAUCAUGCAGUUCUACUCCACUGCCCAUUUCUAUCCAGAUGGGAAGAUCGUUUGGAUGUCUGAGGGUACCAGGUACCAAUCUUUUGUUGAUGAAUGGGCUCAGUUGAUCAAUGCCCCAAAAGAAAGUGAGGAUGACUUGGAUGUUUAUGCUGAGAAGAAGAAAGACCACAACACAAUGGCCAACAUGUACAAAGAGAUCCCAGAUGCUGCUUUGGAUACAUAUAUGUUUGGAUCUGUCCACUACCUGUUGUCUGGUCUGCCUACCAUAAACUAGAUUCUGAGGCACACACUGCUACCCAAGUCAAGUGAUCACAAGAUGAUCAGAGGACAUGCUAUAAACUUGCUGCACAUAUUUGAUGUCCCAUAGAAGUUCAAGGUCAUGAGUUUGAUUGUUGAGACAAUCAAGAGGACUGCUGCUGACCAGAAGAGAAGCUAUGGGUAUGCCCCACAAAUUCAGGAGCUCAUCAACUCAAACAUGGGCACAGGCACAUACCUUAGAAGAUCAUCGAGAGCUUUUAAAGACUCAUGAGAAGCCAUGCUUUGAAAAGCUCAAUCUAGAGCAAGAGCAUGGGUUCUUAAAAGCAAUUAAUGAUGAUCUUCGUAAGAAAAGUUCUUCUUACAUUGCCAAGCGUUUACUCUUGUCUACUUACAUGGCACAAGUAAAAUCUAGCAACAAGAGCAAGAAAGAUUCUUCUUCUAGUAGUAACAAUAAUCAUGUUAAAUCCAAUAUUGUUGCUUCUAGUAGUUCUCUUGAUUCCACUAAUGAUUCUCUUAGCCAAGUUACACUUGAGCAAGAAAAUAGCUUAUUGAAGGGAAUUAUAGAGAAAGGUGUUUACAAGAGCCUUGUCGGAAGUAAGCAAUUUGAGGAAAUUGUACGCAAGCAAGGAGGGCACUGGAAGAAUCAAGGUGUUGGUUUUGAACGCAAGUUCAAUGCCAAUGGAGUUGAGUGGGAAGAAGAUCAAUAUCCCAAGACGAAGUUUGUUCCUCAACAGGAGAAGUAUGAUCCCCCUUCUUUCAAGGGAACACAAGCUCAAGAUGAUCUUCCACCACAAGACCACAAGCUAAAAGGCAAGGAUAAGCUUCAAGAGGAGAUUGAUGCAUUUGAAGAAGCUCCUAAGGCCUUGGUCAAGUGGGUUCCCAAGACUACAUCAAGUUCUACUUCAUCAAGUACGACUACAACUCCAAGGAUUCCCAUCAAGAUGAUGUGGAUCCCGAAGAAGAAGAACUAGAGAGUUCUUGAGGGUGACUCCGCCAACAAACUUCACCCAUAUUCAUUUGGCAAGGACAAGUGCAAUCAACUUCCACAUCUUGCACUAGUUCAAGGAGUCACAAAUCCUCUUGUUGGUAAGACAAGGGACAAGGUAAACUAAUGCUUUCAUGGACAACAUCUUGUGUGAAUUUCACUCUAUGUCUAUGGAUAUCCUUGUAUGUUCCUUGUGGGACUAACCCAUGUAGGUAUUGAAAGUACAACUCACUCCAAUGGAUUGCUCCAAAUGAUCUACAUCAACAUUGAACAUCUACAUCUUCAACACCUACAUGAAGUCAUCAUCAACAAAACCCAAGGUUAGUUCAUCCCUCUUAGGGGGGAUAUCACAUCUAGGGGGAGCUUUGCUCUAAGAAUUGAGCUAAAGCAACUCUAAUGGCAUGAACACAACAAUGCUUUAUGUAAAAGUGGUAACCCCACUUGUGCUUAAACAAUGAGUAUGACCUACGAUCAAAUGUUCUCGUUUGACUCCUCAGUCAAUGUACUCAUAUAUAGAUGACCUAGUCAUCACCAAUUGCUUGAUAGAUGCUAGAGUGUUUGUGCAUGCUUUAUCAUAUAUUUUAUUUUCUAUCUUAUUGUGUGAGCAUGUUGGUUGCAUAUUUUUGCCAUUCGAGGACAUCCAUUUGUUACGUUGAUUGUUUGGCCUUUUUUCAUUUUGCCAAAUGGAUGGACAAGAAUGCCUAAGAACUCCCUCUAGCUAUCUAUGCUUUUCUCGUCUCAAACUCUAUUUAUGCUACAUCACAAAGUUUGAACAAGUCGAAUUCGGACUCUCCGGGUGAGGAGCACUCGGAGUCACCGAUCCGUCAAGGGCUUAAUUUCCAAAACCUCUUAGUGUAUUUCGGUCUGACCGAUCCAUCCCAUUCGGUCAUACUGAGUUCAUUAAGUUGAUCUAGGUUUUGAUCUUGGUGCAACCGAUUAGAACAGUUCGGUCUCACUGAGUUGCAGCAACCGCUUGCGAUUCUGCAUCUUGGUGCCAUUGAGUCAUUCCACUCGGUCACACCGACAGUGUCUGGAUAUAUAUACCCGGGCUGAAAAUUUCUCCAAAGCCUUCGCCCGCACCUGUCCAGCUCUGCGUACUCGUGGUCUUCAGAUCGUCUCCUCAUCGCCCGCGACCUCCUGUUGCUGGUGUUCGCCGGCGUCAACAGAAAUCUUCGCCAUCGUUGUCGCCGUAGCAGGUUCAUCACCAAGCUAGGGUAUGAACUCGACCCUUUGUGCUUUCCUCACUCUGAUUCUUAGCACAAAGACAAUGCCAUGAUUCUUACCAUGAUUGAAAUAGUUCUAUCCAAUCAAUACUUCCUCUAGAUUGGUUUUGAUCCAAAAACUUAGGGUUAGGUUUCCGCCGAUCUCGUCUCAGACCGACCGAUUUGAAAAAUCCGGUCACACCGAUUUGGCCCAGGCCAUUGCACAUGUACUACUCGGUCCAAACGAAGUGUACGAAUCGGUGUGACCGAGUUUACUUGCUCUGUGAAACCCUAGCAUCUCGGAGUCACCGAACUGUGUCUCGGUCUGACCGAUUUCACAUGUUUAGACUUUAAAGUUGCUUCGGUGUCACCGAGUUUGUCAUAUCGGUAGCUCCGAAAUGCUUUUUGCAGAAAACUAAAAUUAAGUUUUUGAGUCAUUCUUUUUGCCAAAACAGCUGCACUUUGUGAUGCUCAUCCACUCUACCUAUACCCAUCUGUUCACAGGGUCAAUUUCAGCAAUGCCAGACCAGAGUGACAGCCAGAAUGAUCAGAGGGCAUUCAAUCAAUUUGCCACACAUGUACAACGAGACACCAGAUGCUGCCUUGGACACACAUAAGUUUGGCUCUGUGUACUAUCUUCUGUCAGGGCUGCCAACAAUCAACACAAUCCUGAGGCACACAUUGCUUCCCAAGUCUGGAGAUGACAGAAUGAUUAGAGGGCAUUCAAUCAAUUUGCUACACAUGUUUGAUGUGCUACAGAAAUUCAAGGUGAUGACCUUAAUAGUUGAGAGUGUUAAGAGGACUGCAGAAGAGAUCAUGUGGCUAUGCCCCACAGAUUUAGAUGCUCAUUAAUUCCAAAGUGGGCACAUGCACAUAUUUUAUAGAUAGAGAGCAUCUUCCCUUGAGGCUAGAUUUUGAGGAAAACACAAUUGUCAUGGGUGCUUCACAUCCUACAUCUGUUGAGGCUCAGGAGAAGAGAGAGAAGGCUAAGGCAGAAAAAGCUUCCAAGAUUCCAGAUCCCUCAGCUGCAAAUCUCAAGACCAAGCAGGACCAGCUCAGCUAUCUGCUUGAAGCCACAGUUAGGAUUGAGAAAGGACUAACCACCCUGACUCAAAACCAAGAGAGUCUUGAGAGAAUCAUUGAGACAAAGUUUUAUGAUCUAGACUUGAAGGUGACAGAGAUUCAGACUGCAUUUGAGCAACUCCAAGAAGAAGCAUAGGAGAGGAGAUGAAGAUCUAAUACAUAUGCUUAUCAGAGGGUGCCUAGAGCACAAAGGUUUGCAGCCGUGCUAGUCAGUGACACAAGGGCCACAACUUCAGCACAUGCAGCCACAGCCUCAGUUGCCCCUCCAGUGGCAACCCCUCCAGUUCCUCAGACGUCAGCCAAAGUCUUUGCAGAUGUUGUUCUCUGCAUGCCAUCUUCGCACUCCGAAGCUCUCGGAGAUCGUGCUUAGAGUGCCAAUAGCACUAUGCAUUUUUGAGAUUUUUGGUAACUUGUUUCCAAAGGGGGAGAAAUUGCAUAGAUCAUAGGCUUCGAGAGAGAGAGAGAGUGUGUGUGUGUGUUCUGCUUCUUUUUGUCUCUCUUGCUACUUAUUUGCUUGUGUUUGCUAUAUUAUUUGUGUUUGUGUGUGAGAUACUCUUAUGAUCAUGUGGUUGAUCAUAUUAUGCUUUACUAUUUGUGCUUGAAUGAGCUAUCUUAUCAUUUGUGUAUGAUCAAUCAUAUGUGUCUUGGUGAUGAGUGCAUGUCAUUUAUAUUAUAUCAUUUUGAGCGCUCCACCAAGAUGUGUGUGACAUGGAAUAGUGACCCAUGAUCCUAAUCGAUUGUGCAUUUGCAUUCAAAAGCAAAUCAUAAAUAAUGCACAAAUUUAGGGGGAGCUCUUGCUUAUCACAUACUUCUCAAAGCGACGAUAUAUUUCAUUCUUAUCAUCAUUUGUCGAAGCUUUGAUCUAUAUGUUGUCAUCAAUUACCAAAAAGGGGGAGACUGAAAGUGCAACUGAUCCCGGUGUGGUUUUCGUAAUUCAUAACAACAUAUACCUCAUUGAACUAAUAUCCUUUCAAGUUAAUUAUUUCAGAAAGCUCAAUGAUUGGUAUGGCAUGGACUAGAAACGUGGACCCCUUAAAAUGUUAAGGACAAAUAUUGGCAAAAGCUCAAGACUCUUCAUUUCUAUUAUAGUGAUCCAAGAUCACAUUGAGUCCAUAGGAAAGCCAAUACUAUUAAAAGGGGAUGAGGUGUUGCUUAAUGAUCUACUUGCUCAAAGUGCUUAGUGAUAUGCUCCAAAGCCCUCAACCAUUUUGUCAAAUCCAAAUAUGUCAUAAACCUAAAGUCAAACUCGGCCCCAUCGAUUUGAUUCAUCCGCGCCACCGAGUUCACUUGACAUCGCCAUAGCCAGAAACCCUAAUUAGUUCGGUCUCACCGACAGGGAUCUCGGUCUCACCGAGAUGGGACUGCAAACUCUCUGUUUCCCUUCGUAAAGUUUUAGUCUCACCGAAAUGAGCGACCGGUCACAUCGAGUUCGCGGUGCAAACUCUCUGUUUCUCUUUUGUAAUGUUUCAGUAUCACCAAAAGGAGCGAUCGGUCCCACCGAGUUUGCCUGACCAACUCUCUGUUUGCUUAUUACUGAAAUUGGUCUCACCGAAUUGAAGUAAUCGGUCAAACCGAGAUCAAGUUUUGCCCUAACCCUAGCUUAUCGGUCCCACCGAGUUGAUCUUGUCGGUCCCACCGAAAAUCCUAACGUUGUGACACCCGGAUAAUUAAGCUACAGUAAUCCCAAGUUAAUGGUGCCAUAUCAUCAUUUUCACUAUUGCUAAAUCCCCCUUUGAUUCUAUCCGGUUCAAAUUCAAAUUUAAAUUAAAGUCGAGUGACAAAAGUGUUCAAUUUUCAAAACUAAAAUGUUCAAGUUGUAGCAAUAAAUCAAUUGUUAAUAUUGGUGGUGAGCCAACAUUUUUUGAAUGGUGGUUUAAUGCCCUAAACUGUUUAAAACAGUGUUAUAGCGGCAUAUUUAAAUGCCUUUCCAUUUACAAAAAAUUCCAAACAAACUCAAAUGCCUCCCAACCUUUUUGUGUCAGUGCUAGCUAAUGCAAGGUAUUUAUGGGACCAAGUCCCACAUUUUACAAAAUAUAUUUUUGCUAGCUAGAGAAACGCAAAAAGAAAAGAAUAAAUGUAAACAGAAAAGAUUAAAAAAAGAAAAAGGAGAGAGGCCCCCCUUUUCCCCACUGGGCCUCGACCCAGUUGGCCACCCCAGCCAGGCCGGCCCAUCACUCCUACAUCUACCCCCACUCCACCAAACCAUAGAGCCCAACCCCACUCCCCCACGACCCCCUCGCUCCUCUCCCCCCCACGACCUGAUNNNNNNNNNNNNNNNNNNNNNNNNNNNNNNNNNNNNNNNNNNNNNNNNNNNNNNNNNNNNNNNNNNNNNNNNNNNNNNNNNNNNNNNNNNNNNNNNNNNNNNNNNNNNNNNNNNNNNNNNNNNNNNNNNNNNNNNNNNNNNNNNNNNNNNNNNNNNNNNNNNNNNNNNNNNNNNNNNNNNNNNNNNNNNNNNNNNNNNNNNNNNNNNNNNNNNNNNNNNNNNNNNNNNNNNNNNNNNNNNNNNNNNNNNNNNNNNNNNNNNNNNNNNNNNNNNNNNNNNNNNNNNNNNNNNNNNNNNNNNNNNNNNNNNNNNNNNNNNNNNNNNNNNNNNNNNNNNNNNNNNNNNNNNNNNNNNNNNNNNNNNNNNNNNNNNNNNNNNNNNNNNNNNNNNNNNNNNNNNNNNNNNNNNNNNNNNNNNNNNNNNNNNNNNNNNNNNNNNNNNNNNNNNNNNNNNNNNNNNNNNNNNNNNNNNNNNNNNNNNNNNNNNNNNNNNNNNNNNNNNNNNNNNNNNNNNNNNNNNNNNNNNNNNNNNNNNNNNNNNNNNNNNNNNNNNNNNNNNNNNNNNNNNNNNNNNNNNNNNNNNNNNNNCCCCUCCCACUCGACUAGUUCUGGAUUGGGGAGGGGCUCGAUCCUGCGCCUCCCGUCGUCGCUGUGCUUCGUCACCACGUCGGCGCCGCUCCAUCGACUCUCCCUCGCCGGAUCGUCCCCAUCCUCCUCCUCAACGGCCGCCAACGCGCCUCGACGCCCCCUGCUCACCAACGUCGGUGAGGACCCUGGUCGUCCUCCCCUCCCCUUAUUCGUCGUCACGGUCGACGCGCUCCGCGCGCACACCUGGCCGCCGAGACCACGAGCCGCGUCCACCAGCCCCGCCCCCUCCAGUGCGUCACCGCGCCCUUGCUCGCCCGCUCGUGCGCCGCACGGCGCUCUGCCUCGCCCUGCCCCAUUCUGUCACGCACCGCCGUCCCCGUCCCGCGCCCGCCACGCGCAGCCCGCGCGUUGCACACACUCGCCUGCUCCGCCCUGCCUUGCAUCUCGCUCGCUGUCGUCGCCUGGCCCCGACCGGGCCAGCUCUGGCCGGCUGCGCCCGCUUGGCCGGGCCUCGCCGUCCCACGGGCGCCCGCACCCCGGCACCCGCAUGCCCUCCCCGCUAAGGCUCAGGGCCAUCGACAGAUGGGGCCCGUCCCCUAUGAACACAUUAAAAAUGAUUAAUUAAAUUAAUUAAUUAGUUAAAUGAUUAAUUAACUUCAUUGAUUUUCCCUAAUUAACUAAUUAGCUAAUUAGUUAGUCAGAGGACUCUAUGACAGUAGGGCCCCACCCCUAGUUAGUUUAAUCUAAACACCCUUUUAAAAUAUGUGACACUGGCAGAUGGGCCCCAUUGACCCUGUUGACUGGUCAACAUUGACCUAGUCAACGCUGACUGUACUGCUGACUAGGCACUGACCGGCCCCACAUGUUAGGGUUGACCAUGGUCAACUCAGCUGACUGCUCACGUCAUGAUGGUGCAAUAACCCUAUUUUAGAUUAAUAAUAAAUCUAGGAUAUUGCAUAAACUUCGGAGAAUCAUAUAAAAUAAUCCGUAGCUUGGAUAAAAAAGUUUUAUACAUGAAAGUUGCUCAAAACGACAAGAGGAAUCUGAAUAUGCGGUCCGUUCAUCCACCACACAUCCCUAGCAUAGCGAACAUCGAACCUUUCCCCUCUGGGUCGUCUGUCCGAAAAUGCCAAACUUCGGGAAAGCAUUCCCGGAUGUUAACCCCUUCGCCGGUAACGUGUAGCACCGUGUUAGAACACGUCUAGCUCUGCCUGUUGUCCUGUUAUGCACUUACUUGCUAUGUAUUUACUAUCCCCUCCUCUUCUCUUCGGUAGACCCCGUGACGGCUGCCGAUGCCGCUGUGAUCGACUACGUCACCGACGACCCCCCCUUCUCGUCUGAGCAACCAGGCAAACCCCCCUUUGAUCAUCCCGAUAUCGCCCAUUCCAUUCUCUCAUGCUUGCAUUAGAUUUUGCUACUGUAAUUGAUUGCUUCUAUUCUGAUGCAUAGCCUGCUUUUCUACCUGCUAUCACUAGUGCGCGUCGGUCCUAAACAAACAGUUUUUAACCCCUUUCCACGAUGGCAUUCGGAACCGUCACCAAGUGAGUGUGGGCGAUAGGGGGUCCUUCCCGCACGACGCAGAAACCGUUGGGGAUAUGCCCUCCUGGCACACACGCUCGGCAAAAUGAGGUCGUGUGCGACCGGCAAUCACUCAAAUACAGAAAUACAUACAAUAGUGCUAAAAAAUACAAUUAUACAGGCGAAAUCAUUUCCGAUCGUAAGUACAUCCCACACAGCCAGUCACCAUUAGAAGUUUUCAUUCGUAUAUACAUCCCACAAAGUCACUACAAGGAAAACAUUUGCGCAAGAUGGCGCAACGCAAACAGUUUUGAAGAGAAUGUCGUGUGUGAUUGUUCAUUGAUCUAACACGGUUUAUUCCUAGAAACUAUGUGCAUUGCCUGAGGUCAUCACCCACGGUGGUUUCUCAUUAACCGUUUGCAAUAGGAAAACCCAAUUAGCAAGCUAAUUGGCCAAUUAGCAGGCUAAUUGCCCUAUUAUUAAUAAUCCAUUUACUAAUCUAAUUGACAUUCAUAUUAAGCACAUAAUAUAUCCCAUUUCCAUAUUAAGGGAGCAGGAUUUCAUAAUUGAAAUACAUCAGAGUACAACAUGAUAUAGCUUCAGCACUCAGCUACCCCAUUACAUAACUGCACCAGCAGCAAGUUUCACAUGCAACAUCUAGAACCUUUCGAAAUUAGCAUCAUAGAUGGUACAUAGAGAGAUGCAUCUCAUCUAGAAAACUGCUGAAACGGAAGGCGAAUAUUGAGCCUUCAUUCAUGUUGAAGGUCUUUGCAACUUUAGGCCAGUGCCUGUGGAUGAUUGACCGUCCAUCCUUCGACCUCUUCAGAAACACUUCAAUAUUGAACCGUGGGUGUUGUAUGAAAACUUUCCUCGCCUCCUGACCACAGAGGUGGUUUGAGAGGUAAUCAUCAGUGAAGCCUGAAAACAAGAAUGUGCAUAAAUAUCUUCUCUAUAUUGGAAAUGGGGCAAAGGAAUACAAAAAGGCAAGGUAUAAUAGUUAGUACCAUCUUGUAAACCUCAGUGCUUCCCAUUGUUUCCCUGCAACACAUAUAAGGUAGUUAGUCAUCAGGUUAAGUAGGGGUUCACAUGCUAUCAGUAAAAUAUGUUGAUGAUAAAUAAGAACAUUGCAGAUUCAUCAGAUUAAUUCAAGCCACAUGGAAAACCCAUUUAUCCAAACCAAGCAUGAUUAAGAACUAGGAAAUAUAGCACUUGUAUAUGUUUCUCAUGUAUUAAGUGCAGCCAAAUUCGAUUUAUUCCUCACAUGAUAUACAAUAACAGAAUGCAGCCACAGCAAUUGAACAUCACAUUGCAGAAUUGAACCAAGCAGUUAAAUAAACACCACAACAAAUGAACCAAAUGUUUACUGAGCACCACAUUGCACAAUAUAACACACCCCUAAUAGAAGACCAGACAGUUAACCAAACCAAGCAUGCUUAACAACUUGGAAAUAUAGCAAUUAUAUUUGUUUCUCAUGUAUUUAGUACAACCAAAUUCGAUUUAUUCCUCACAUGAUAUACAAUAACAGAAUGCAGCCACAACAAUUGAACAUCACAUUACAGAAUUGAGCCAAGCAAUUAACUAAACACCACAAAAAGUGAACCAAGCCACAACAAAUGAACCAAGCAGUUAACUAAACACCAAUUGAACAAUAUAACAUACUCCUAAUAGAAGUUCGGACAGUUAACCAAAACAAGCAUGCUUAACAAUUUGGAAACAUUGCACCCUGAAGAAUUGAACAUCACAUUUGCAGAAUUGAACCAAGCAGUUAAUUGAACACCACAUUGCACGACAUAUAGAACAUAUACACUAUAGCAGAAGAUUGCAUGGUAAAAGUAGAUAGCACAAUUCACUGGAAUUUGUUAAGGAAAGGCAGUAGCUAGCAAACUAAACAUGGGUCCUUAUAGUGAGCUAAUAAGACAAGCUACUCCUCAUUGUCAGAGAUAUCGAUGACGAUUGGCUCCUUUGACAUGGAAGAGGGUGAGGCCUUUGCAUCGUGGGUGCCCUCAUUGUAGUGGUGAGUUGCAUGAGCCGCUCCGGGCACCAACCUGCUGGCUCUCGAGAUGAGGUAAGCACGUGCACGCUGAGAAAACACAUCGUAGUCUUCGUUGAAGGCACCGACGGUGGCCUCGAGAAAACGCCACGAACUUUCGUUUAAAGUAGCCAACUGUGUCGCGGCGUUGGUGUGCGAGGCGCCAACGAUGGCCUCGUCGGCGAGGUGCUCCUCCAAGAUCUGGGGGUCGGCACGAAUGGCAGCCAUCGCGACCUCAUCCGCGCAUGUGGCCGAGAUUUGCUUCUCCGCUGCCAGAUGCUCCUUGAGGUCCUGGCUAUACUGCGUGCACCAUGGUUUAGGCUGGCGCUUAUUUGCUGGAAGGGUCGGUGAUUUGGGUGGAAGGUGUCGCUGUCGGUGUCAAAACCGGCGGAUCUCGGGUAGGGGGUCUCGUACUGUGCGUCUAAGGCGGAUGGUAACAGGAGGCAGGGGACACAAUGUUUACCCAGGUUCAGGCCCUCUUGAUGUAGGUAAUACCCUACGUCCUGCUUGAUUGUUCUUGAUGAUAUGAGUAUUACAAGAGUUGAUCUACCACGAGAUCAAAGAGGCUAAACCCUAGAAGCUAGCCUAUGGUAUGAUUGUAUGUUGUCCUACGGACUAAACCCUCCGGUUUAUAUAGACACCGGAGGGGGAUAGGGUUACACAAUGUCGGUUACAAAGGAGGAGAUAUACAUAUCUGUAUUGCCUAGCUUGCCUUCCACGCCAAGUAGAGUCCCAUCUAGACAUGGACGAAGUCUUCAAUCUCAUAUCUUCAUAGUCCAAUAGUCCGGCCAAAGGAUAUAGUCUGGCUGUCCGGAGACCCCCUAAUCCAGGACUCCCUCAGUAGCCCCUGAACCAGGCUUCAAUGAUGAUGACUCCAGCGCGUAGUAUUGUCUUCGGCAUUGCAAGGCGGGUUCCUCCUCCGAACACUCCAUAGAAGAUUUUGAACACCAGAAUAGUGUCCAGCUCUGCAAAACAAGUUCCACAUACUACCGUAGAGAGAAUAAUAUUUGCACAAAUCUAAUCUGCUGACGCGUUCUGACAGCACGACAUUAUGCCAUGGCUCGGUCAUUAUUCGAACCGUUUUUCUCAACCAGCACCACACAUAACAUGGGGCGGUUUUAUCGACACGUCUUGUCAAAGCAGAGAUCGUGUCCCCCUUAUUACGGGAUUCUCAGCAAUACGGGCGUGGGUAACCCAGCCGCGCCAUCAAUUAUGGUGCCUGGGGAAUAAGCGGUUUUACCAGGCAGGUGGGGAGACGCAUCGCCUCUUCCGCCCUUAUAAAGGGACAAGGAUUCGCUCUUUUCACCCACGCCUUCUUCCUCCUUGCUUACCCAUUCCCGCACACUCGAGCUCUAGCGCCCAAGCUCGUGUUCCUCUUAUCAAACCACUCCAGGCAUGUCCGGAGCAGGAGGCAAGUGGAUGGUCUCCUCCGUCACGGAGGAGAACAUCAAAAAGUUACGGGAAGCCGGAUAUCUGGCGGCGGAUAUCGCGCACCGGCUGCCAAAUAUGGGGCAGAUCAUCCCAAUGCCCGAACCCCAUGAGAGGGUAGUUUUUCUUACCCAUUUUGUCCGCGGACUGGGAUUUCCCCUCCACCCGUUUAUCCGCGGGCUCAUGUUCUACUAUGGGAUGGAUUUUCAUGAUCUGGCCCCCAAUUUCAUCCUCAACAUCUCGGUGUUUAUCGUCGUGUGCGAGGCCUUCCUCCGCAUCAGGCCCCACUUCGGCCUAUGGCUGAAAACCUUCAAUGUUAAACCGAAGGUGGUGGGUGGCCAGCAAGCAGAGUGCGGAGGCGCCAUGGUGGGCAAGAUGCCCAAUGUCACCUGGCUCGAGGGCACCUAUGUGGAUACCAUAAAGGGGUGGCAAUCGGGGUGGUUCUACAUCACCGAGUCGCGCGACUCCAACUGGGUGGCGGCCCCAAAAUUUCGAUCCGGAAUCCCCACACGGCUCACCUCCUGGAAAGAGAAGGGCCUGUCCUGGGGUUCUUCGGUAGAGUUGACCGGACUCCAGACCUGUAUUCGGAACAUGACGAGCAAGAAAAUCAAGCUUGUCAACAUGGUCUAGGUCAUGCUCUUCUGCCAGAUCCUCCUGUGUCAACGACGGGCAUUCGAUUUGUGGGAGUUCGACUCGGCCAAGCACCAGACGCUGCGAGAGCUCUAUGACACGAUGCACGAGGAUGUCUGGAGGGUGCUGUUCAAGGGCGCCGAGAUUCCUCCUUCCCUCACCGAGGACCGCGCACUCAGCGCAAAAUGCCGCGCUAAUCUGGUAAGUUUUUAUAUCUCUCAGGGUAUUUAUUUGCCCCGGUUUAGUCAUAUGCAGGAUCUAAGCUUCUAUGCCAUUAACACGACUAGAUAAAGACAACGAAGCAGCUUGAUUGCCCAGCCCCCCUGCCCGAAGAUCCUGCAGGCGCUCUCCUAACAGAGAUGCUGACUCCGGCACCUUACAAGGUGCCGGUGAAGAAGACCAAGAAGAAGGCCGCGGGGACCCGAAAGGGUCUCCGGCGCAAGGUUGUAUCGGACUCAUCGUCCGAUGACUCCGACGCGCACUCCUGCCAUGAAGACGAGGAGGAGGAAGAGGAAAGUUCUCCCCCCAGCUGGGGGAGACAAGAAAAGGAAGGUUGACCCAUCUGGGGAGGCCGAAGGGUCCAAGAGGGUAAGGACCCUCCCUCCGGACUGCGCCACGACGGCCGCCGACUGCGGCGACGAGUGGCUACCCAGGGUCAAGCCCCUGGCGAAAUCGUAAGUGUCCGGGCACCAUAGUACUUCAUGGUAUGUUUUAUUACACUGCCUCUCCUCAUGCCGAACAUGAUUAUGCAGUCCGUCCCGAGCUCGUCUCGACGUAUCCUCGUCGAGCGGCUCUCUGGACUCGUCGGAUAUGAACAGCGGUUCUCUCCCGACCGCUACCACCCCUCGCCCUAUGGACAACGCCGAGGUGUUGUCUCAAAAGGCACCGAGCCAAGGGGAGCUGGUCCUGGGGGCGCCUCGAGGCGACUUCUCGGACCCUGGGUACCAAGGGAGCGAGGCUCCUACGGGCUCCGAGUUCAGCCCUCAACCGAACACUGCGCCGAAACCUUCGAUGGUUCCGGACUCCGACAGGCGGUCCCCCGUUAAGGGGGGGCAACCAUCCGUGCCGGUGUCCUCUGUCCAACCAGAGGCACCGGACAACUUGAUGGAAGCGCUUUGCAGCGCUUCCAUCGAUGAAGAGCAUGAAGGAAAUAUGCCCUAGAGGCAAUAAUAAAGUUAUUAUUUAUUUCCUUAUAAUCAUGAUAAAUGUUUAUUGUUCAUGCUAGAAUUGUAUUUUCCGGAAACAUAAUACAUGUGUGAAUAUAUAGACAAACAGAGUGUCACUAGUAUGCCUCUACUUGACUAGCUCGUUAAUCAAAGAUGGUUAUGUUUCCUAACCAUGAACAAUGAGUUGUUAUUUGAUUAACGAGGUCACAUCAUUAGUAGAAUGAUCUGAUUGACAUGACCCAUUCCAUUAGCUUAGCACCUGAUCGUUUAGUAUGUUGCUAUUGCUUUCUUCAUGACUUAUACAUGUUCCUAUGACUAUGAGAUUAUGCAACUCCCGUUUACCGGAGGAACACUUUGGGUACUACCAAACGUCACAACGUAAAUGGGUGAUUAUAAAGGAGUACUACAGGUGUCUCCAAUGGUCGAUGUUGGGUUGGCGUAUUUCGAGAUUAGGAUUUGUCACUCCGAUUGUCGGAGAGGUAUCUCUGGGCCCUCUCGGUAAUACACAUAACAUAAGCCUUGCAAGCAUUACAACUAAUAUGUUAGUUGUGAGAUGAUGUAUUACGGAACGAGUAAAGAGACUUGCCGGUAACGAGAUUGAACUAGGUAUUGGAUACCGACGAUCGAAUCUCGGGCAAGUAACAUACCGAUGACAAAGGGAACAACGUAUGUUGUUAUGCGGUCUGACCGAUAAAGAUCUUCGUAGAAUAUGUAGGAGCCAAUAUGGGCAUCCAGGUCCCGCUAUUGGUUAUUGACCAGAGACAUGUCUCGGUCAUGUCUACAUUGUUCUCGAACCCGUAGGGUCCGCACGCUUAAGGUUACGAUGACAGUUACAUUAUGAGUUUAUGCAUUUUGAUGUACCGAAGGUUGUUCGGAGUCCCAGAUGUGAUCACGGACAUGACGAGGAGUCUCGAAAUGGUCGAGACGUAAAGAUUGAUAUAUUGGAAGCCUAUGUUUGUGAAGGAAAUAUGCCCUAGAGGCAAUAAUAAAGUUAUUAUUUAUUUCCUCAUAAUCAUGAUAAAUGUUUAUUAUUCAUGCUAGAAUUGUAUUUACCGGAAACAUAAUACAUGUGUGAAUACAUAGACAAACAAAAGUGUCACUAGUAUGCCUCUACUUGACUAGCUCGUUAAUCAAAGAUGGUUAUGUUUCCUAACCAUGAACAAUGAGUUGUUAUUUGAUUAACGAGGUCACAUCAUUAGUAGAAUGAUCUGAUUGACAUGACCCAUUCCAUUAGCUUAGCACCCGAUCGUUUAGUAUGUUGCUAUUGCUUUCUUCAUGACUUAUACAUGUUCCUAUGACUAUGAGAUUAUGCAACUCCCGUUUACCGGAGGAACACUUUGGGUACUACCAAACGUCACAACGUAACUGGGUGAUUAUAAAGGAGUACUACAGGUGUCUCCAAUGGUCGAUGUUGGGUUGGCAUAUUUUGAGAUUAGGAUUUGUCACUCCGAUUGUCGGAGAGGUAUCUCUGGGCCCUCUCGGUAAUACACAUCACAUAAGCCUUGCAAGCAUUACAACUAAUAUGUUAGUUGUGAGAUGAUGUAUUACGGAACGAGUAAAGAGACUUGCCGGUAACGAGAUUGAACUAGGUAUUGGAUACCGACGAUCGAAUCUCGGGCAAGUAACAUACCGAUGACAAAGGGAACAACGUAUGUUGUUAUGCGGUCUGACCGAUAAAGAUCUUCGUAGAAUAUGUAGGAGCCAAUAUGGGCAUCCAGGUCCCGCUAUUGGUUAUUGACCAGAGACAUGUCUCGGUCAUGUCUACAUUGUUCUCGAACCCGUAGGGUCCGCACGCUUAAGGUUACGAUGACAGUUAUAUUAUGAGUUUAUGCAUUUUGAUGUACCGAAGGUCGUUCGGAGUCCCGGAUGUGAUCACGGACAUGACGAGGAGUCUCGAAAUGGUCGAGACGUAAAGAUUGAUAUAUUGGAAGCCUAUGUUUGGACAUCGGAAGUGUUCCGGGUGAAAUCGGGAUUUUACCGGGUUACCGGGAGGUUACCGGAACCCCCCGGGAGCCAUAUGGGCCUUCAUGGGCCUUAGUGGAAAGGAGAAAGGGGCAGCCCAAGGUGGCUGCGCCUCUUCCCCCUCCCCUAGUCCUAUUAGGACUAGGAGAAGGUGGCCGGCCCCCCUCUCUCCCUUCCCCUCCGAGGAAUCCUAGUUGGACUAGGAUUGGGGGGAGGAAUCCUACUCCCAGAGGGAGUAGGACUCUCCUGCGCCUCCCUCUAUGGCCGGCCAGCCUCCCCCUCUCUACUCCUUUAUAUACGGAGGCAGGGGCACCUCUAAACACACAAGUUGACACAAGUUGAUCCACGUGAUCGAUUCCUUAGCCGUGUGCGGUGCCCCCUGCCACCAUAUUCCUCGAUAAUACUGUAGCGGAGUUUAGGCGAAGCCCUGCUGCUGUAGUUCAUCAAGAUCGUCACCACGCCGUCGUGCUGACGAAACUCUUCCCCGACACUUUGCUGGAUCGGAGUCCGGGGAUCGUCAUCGAGCUGAACGUGUGCUCGAACUCGGAGGUGCCGUAGUUUCGGUGCUUGAUCGGUUGGAUCGUGAAGACGUUCGACUACUUCCUCUACGUUGUGUCAUCGCUUCCGCAGUCGGUCUGCGUUGGGUACGUAGACAACACUCUCCACUCGUUGCUAUGCAUCACAUGAUCUUGCGUGUGCGUAGGAAAUUUUUUGAAAUUACUACGAAACCCAACAGAGCACCGCACUAUCAUGAGUGCGGUGGUCAAGAAGGUUCAGUCCGCCAAAAAUGGACUGGCCGAAGCUUGCGCCAGCCUCCUAACAGGCUUUGAGGUAAGCAAUCAAAAUAUAAGAAAAUAUUACCGCAUAGAUAGUAGCCCCUGAUGCUCUGUUCGGUGUUCGUGAAGAAAAGCUGAAUAGAGGAUCAAAUGAUAACUCAGGAAUCUAAUUAGAGUAUGUCUAUGUGUAUGUGCAGGCUUCACUGCUGGCCGCUGCCGCACGUACUGCGGAGGUCUCUGCGCUGAAGCAGGACCUGAAGCGGUCCGAGGACGAGCUCGGCCUUACCAAGAGGCAGCUUGAAGAGAGCAAAGGUAAGAAAUACCCAUGUCUAUAUAGUUAAAAAGAAAUUUAGUUGUAAAGUAAUAGGAUCAUCAUGGGUUUGCCAGGGGCCACGACCGAAGUGGCGACCCUGAGGAAGGCGUUGUCCGAGGCCGAAGACAAAGCGGCCAAGGAGCGCUUUGAACGGGAAAAGCAAGAAGCCCGAGUAGGCGAGGUGCAACAAGAGCUCGAGGCUCUCGCCAAAAAGUACGAGUCCUUGGAGCUUGACUCUAAGACGCGAGAGUCCGAGCUCGCGCAGGCGCUUGAAAGCGUCCGGAGCGCCAAGGUCGAAGCCCAUAAGGCCCUCCAGGAGAUUGACACGGUGAAGAAGAUAGCAGCGGGUAAGGCAUUCAUUAUGCAAAGCAAGCACGUGAAGGAGACUUUCCUUUUUCUUACCCGAGUUCGGAGCUCUCCACGAGCGUUUGCAGAUCUUCCCUGCAGUGUACUGGAUGCCGUGGAGUUUUAUCGGGCUGAGGAGGGGAGCUCGACGGAGAAGUUGUUCUGGUCUCAGUAUACUGGGACCGAACACCCCGUGCCCUUGAGCGACCAGCUGAAGCAGUUGGUCGAGCUUCACAAGGCGGCCGAACAGGCCAUGAAAGGCCUUAUAAUCCGGAUGUGGCCUAGCGAGCCCCUGUCCGGUAGCUACUUUGGUCUGGUGAGGCGGCUUGUGGAAGCCUGCCCACGGCUUGAAGUCAUCAAGCAGUCCAUCUGCAUCGAGGGUGCGCGCAGGGCUUUUACCCGAGCGAAGGUACACUGGGCGAAGCUGGACGCCAUGAAGCUGGUGAAGGAGGGGCCGCCGGAGGGCAAGGAGCAUCGCUACCCCGAGAAUUAUUAUGAGAGUGUCCUGAAGGGUUCUCGCCUAGUGGCAGAUGAGUGUGCCAAGGAUGUAAUUUUUGAAUGAACAUGCUCAUGUGAUCCUGUAAUAUGAAACGAGUUCAUUUGGUCCAUGCGACGCUUUCUUAAUUUAAAAUAUUACCUUCUGUGCGGCCGUUUUUAAAAUCUGAGAGUUGGCCAGUCGUCGGCUUCUAUCCCCAUGUAACUAGUACUGGGGUGUUCGGGAUAAACCUGAACACUCUUUACCCCAAUUUUGGGUCCUUCAAGGGAGGUGUUCAGCGCAACGAACCAGGCAAUCGGACUAUAAUGCUUUCUCACUCUCACUUAGCCAUAGAAGUCUAUGAUUUUAAAUUUUGGCGAAGCCCCUGGUAUUUGGAGGGCUGAAUUUGGGGCGCUAUACAUGCCUAAGUCGGACAAGGCCGACUCCUCGCCCAAAGCGGAAAAAGUCUUUAAGGACUGGAGACCUCUCGAACAGCGACCAGUCUCUCGCCUUAUCAUGACAGUCAGUUUUUGGAUUUCUCUACUGAGGUGCUCAUCCGGAAGAACUGGGACACAAUCGCAGUAGUUCUCCCACCGCUACCUUAGCCGAUAUAGCGAACGUAAGGUACCAAAGCAUGGGAGCCGGGCAACCCAACAUUUGACCAAAGACAUGAUUCGGAGCUGAUGCAUAUAAUGCUAUAAGUUCGGGGUGUCGCAUUGUCGAAAGUGUUCGGACUUCUUGCGCCGUAUUAUGGGGUAAACGAGAACCCCUGGCGAACUGACCAUACCCGAACGUGCGGGUGCAGAUUGUUGUAAGUGGACAUAUAAGAGAAAGAGAAAAACUUAAAUAAUGCAAUGACAGAUUAAUGAUAUGCAUUGUUAUUUAAAUAAUACAUCAAAGCGUACUUAGUACAAGUAGUGCAAUAAGCAUAAAGUAGGACAAUUCGAAAUGUCCUAUCCCAGGGCAAGCUACGCAUAAAUAGUGAAAAGCGAGUAUAUCAAUUAUUACUAGAGACCACCUGGAGGUUCCCGUGUUCAUCUUAGCCUCUUGCCGCCUUGGUUGUUGCUUCCGGAAUGUGUCCGACAAUCGUACUGCCAGAAAGGGCUUCCAGAGAGUUAGGCCCUGAAAGAGAAAAGGAAUGACAAAGGUAUACAACCCAUAGUGCGGUUAAGCCACAAUGCGGGGCGUGUCCUGAUCGUGCCCGCGCCUAUGUCCAUGGUAUUUUCAAUGCGUAGUUAUGUACGCGCGGCACUGAUUUCAUCGCUUCACUGGGACUAGGACGGGGGCCGAAUUGCUAGGCGAGCUCUGAUCGUGCCAGGCGAUCCUGUUGCAGCUUGUUCCGGACUCGCUUGAAGGGGUCCGGGGGCUGUGACACUGAAUGAGUGGUCUGCCUGAACAGGCUGAUUUGUGCUUCUGCUGCAAGGGCCGCAGUGUGCUCUUCCGUACGGAGCGAGCGUUCUGUGUUUCCAUUUACUGUUAUGACCCCGCGAGGUCCUGGCAUCUUGAGCUUGAGGUAUGCGUAAUGCGGCACUGCAUUGAAUUUUGCAAAUGUUGUCUGUCCGAGCAGUGCAUGGUAGCCACUGCGAAACGGGACGAUGUCGAAGAUUAACUCUUCGCUUCAGAAGUUGUCCAGUGAUCUGAAGACCACUUCCAGUGUGAUUGAGCCUAUGCAAUGGGCCUCUACACCUGGGAUGACGCCUUUAAAGGUGGUUUUGCUGGGUUUGAUCCUCGAGGGAUCGAUACCCAUUUUUCGCAUUGUAUCCUGAUAAAGCAGGUUUAGGCUGCUGCCGCUAUCCAUAAGGACUCGAGUGAGGUGAAAUCCGUCAAUGAUGGGGUCUAGGACCAGUGCGGCGGAUCCGCCAUGACGGAUGCUAGUGGGGUGGUCCCUGCGAUCGAAGGUGAUCAGGCAAGCAGACCAUGGGUUGAACUUUGGGGCGACGGGCUCCAUCGCAUAGACGUCCCUUAGUGCAUGCUUCCGCCCCCUCUUGGGAAUGUGGGUUGCGUAUAUCAUGUUCAUCGUCUUCACUUGUGGGGGAAACCCCUUUUGUCCUCCUGUGUUCAGCGGCCGGGACUCCUCCUCGUCAUCGCCAUGCAGCCCCUUGUCCUUGUUUUCGGUAUUUAACUUGUCGGCCUGCUUGAACACCCAGCAUUCUCUGUUGGUGUGAUUGGUUGGCUUGUCGGGGGUGCCGUGGAUUUGACACGAGCGAUCCAAUAUGCGACCCAGACUGGACGGAGCCGGAGUAUUUAUUUUAAAUGGCUUUUCCGCUGACCGGAUCUAGAGCCUCUGAAUCCGGCAUUGACUGUCGUAUCUUCGGUGUUAUCGCCGUUAUUGCGGCGCUUUGGUCUAUUAUGAUGCUGCCUACCGUUAACAUUUUUGGUAUUUGAGGUAUCCGAAUUCCUCGAUGUGUUGUUGCUGCGAGCCAGCCAGCUGUCCUCGCCCGCGCAAAAGCGGGUCACGAGUGUUGUGAGGGCUGCCAUAGAUUUCGGCUUCUCCUGGCCGAGGUGGCGAGCAAGCCACUCGUCGCGGAUGUUAUGCUUGAAUGCCGCUAGGGCCUCUGCAUCCGGACAGUCUACAAUUUGGUUUUUCUUAGCAGGAACCCUGUCCAGAAUUGUCUGGCUGAUUCCCCUGGCUGCUGGGUUAUGUGGCUCAAGUCAUCAGCAUCCGGUGGCUGCACAUAAGUGCACUGGAAGUUGUCAAGAAAUGCGUCUUCCAGAUCCUCCCAACUGCCGAUGGAAUCUGCUGGCAAGCUGUUCAUCCAAUGCCGAGCUGGUCCUUUGAGUUUUAGUGGGAGGUACUUGAUGGCACAUAGAUCAUCACCGCGAGCCAUGUGGAUGUGAAGGAGGAAAUCCUCAAUCCAUACAGCGGGAUCUGUUGUGCCAUCGUAUGAUUCGAUAUUUACGGGUUUGAAACCCUCCGGGAAUUCAUGAUUCAUAACUUCAUCAGUGAAGCAUAGGGGGUGUGCGGCGCCUCUGUGCUGGGCUAUAUCCCGACGCAGUUCGUAUGAGUCUUGUCUGUUGUAUCCGGCCCAGACGGAUUUACUCUUGGUGUAUCCGACGCAACAAUCAUCGUCCCGUGUUGGCGCGCGUGCCCGUGUCCCGUAUAUUGACCUUGCGAUUUUUGCCUUACUGUCCAAUAUGUCUCGCAGGUCCUCUGUGUUACCUCGGGCCUUAGUAUUUUUGAUUGAGUGGCGACGGGGUGCGGGCUGAACUUCAGGCUGAAACGCCGCUCUGGCUCGGCCGCGUAGUGGCCGGUCAGCCACAUCAUACACUGGUGAAUGAGGUUUCAAUGCUUCCUCCUCGAGGUGAGGCAGCAACCUGCGUUUUGGGUAACUCUUGGACGGGCGCUCAAGUUCAUGCUCCUCGGUCGCAAGGACUUCGGUCCACCUGUCUGCUAGCAAGUCUUGAUCAGCUUGAAGUUGUUGCUGUUUUUUUUCAGGCUAUUUGCCGUGGCCAUAAGCCGGCGCUUGAAGCGCUCUUGCUCGACGGGGUCCUCGAGCAUGAUAAAUUCGCUAUCGCCGAGGCUUGCCUCGUCUUCAGAGAGAGGCAUGUAAUUGUCCUCCUCCGGGUCUUCAUCUGCUGCCUGCUCUGGAGGGCCAGCUUGUUCAUCCUCCAGCUCUACAUCGUGCUGGAGGGGAUUGUUGUUGUCUUCGGCGCUAUCCAGAGUGUUAUUAUCUCCUGUGCUAGUAUCACUGCUCUUGCUGUGGCGGGACUUAGAGCGGCGCCGUGACGUCGGCGCUUGGGUUGCUUCUUGGAGGGGUCAUCCUCCGUUGUCUCGUCGCCAUUGCCUUCUUUGGGGGUCUCCACCAUGUAUAUAUCAUAUGAUGAGGUGGCGGUCCAGCGCCCUGAGGGCGGUGGUUCCUGUUCGUCUCCGACUUCGUCGUCCAUACCGUCGAAGUCUUCGGAGUCGAAGUCGAGCAUGUCGGUUAAGUCGUUGACAGUGGCUACUAAGUGGGUGGUGGGUGGGCAGCGAAUUUCUUCGUCCUCCACAUCCCAUUCUAGCCGGACAUAGUUCGGCCAAGGUUCUCCUGACAGGGAGAGAGACCUUAAUGAAUUUAGCACGUCGCCGAAGGGUGAGUGCUGAAAGAUAUCCACGGAGGUGAACUCCAUGAUCGGCGCCCAGUCGGAUUCGACGGGUAUGGAUGUGAGCGGCUUGGAGUCCGUGGCCGGAGAUGAACCCAGUGGUUCGGCGACACGGCUCUCGUAAGGGGUGAAGUCAGUAUCUGGCUCUAUCGCCACUGAGAGGGAGGCCUCCAUGGCGGGGUCUAUCCCUCCACUCUAGGAUGGCACGAUUUGCUUUGGAUUAACGGCCAGAGUAGUUGCGGAUGCGAUCUCCCGAACACUGUCCGACGGCAGAGUUACGUCAUGAUCGUCAUCACUGUGCGGCGUACCCGACAUGGGCUCGAAUCUGUCGAAGAUCAAGUCUCCGCGGAUGUCGGCGGUGUAGUUUAAGUUUCCGAACCUGACCUGAUGGCCAGGGGCGUAGCUCUCGAUCUGCUCCAGAUGGCCAAGCGAAUUGGCCCGCAGUGCGAAGCCGCCGAAUACAAAGAUCUGUCCGGGGAGGAAAGCCUCACCCUGGACCGCAUCGCUAGCGAUGAUCGAAGGAGCCAUCAAGCCUUAUGGUGACAACACAGUGGAACUCUCAAUGAAAGCACCAAUGUCGGUGUCAAAACCGGCGGAUCUCGGGUAGGGGGUCCCAAACUGUGCGUCUAAGGUGGAUGGUAACAGGAGGCAGGGGACACGAUGUUUACCCAGGUUCGGGCCCUCUUGAUGGAGGUAAUACCCUACGUCCUGCUUGAUUGUUCUUGAUGAUAUGAGUAUUACAAGAGUUGAUCUACCACGAGAUCAGAGAGGCUAAACCCUAGAAGCUAGCCUAUGGUAUGAUUGUAUGUUGUCCUACGGACUAAACCCUCCGGUUUAUAUAGACACCGGAGGCGCUAGGGUUACACAAGGUCGGUUACAAAGGAGGAGAUAUACAUAUCCGUAUUGCCUAGCUUGCCUUCCACGCCAAGUAGAGUCCCAUCCGGACACGGGACGAAGUCUUCAAUCUCGUAUCUUCAUAGUCCAACAGUCCGGCUAAAGGAUAUAGUCCGGCUGUCCGAAGACCCCCUAAUCUAGGACUCCCUCAGUCGCGCUCUCGCUGGCGGUCGGGGCAUGUGGGAUGUGGAAGGAGGAGGAGGAUGGGGGUCGGUGUGGAUUACCUGCCUGGAUAGGCGAGACUGAGCAGCGUGAAGGAGGGUUGUCGGCGAGGAGGUGGCGGCGCUGCAAGCAAGGAGUGAAGGUUUCAACUUGGAAAGGAAGGCGGAAAGAGGGGAAAUGUGGCUUUUGGUAAGGGGAAGGGGGCGGGGAGGUAGAUAUUUCCGCGGAAGCCGAAAAUUUGGAAUCGCUUCAGACAAAAAACUGGCACGCAAAGUGUCAUCAGAAACGGUCCCUUAUUCAGACACGAACAGAAGAUAUUUUGUGCUGCAUCUCACACGGUUGGUUAUAAUAAACUGUGUGGGAUCUACUUGAUUUUUGGUCUUGAUUUGAAUUACAUAAUGGGGUCACAACGGCCAUGGACGGUGUUUGAAUUGCUAGACCUUUUAUCUGCAGUGAUCAUAAAAGAAUUGGAAUUAUUCAGGGUUCGUUUGGACAUUUUUAUGCAUUAAGUGAGUUUUCAAUGCAUUUAUGUGCAGAAUUCAAAUUUGAACUACAUGCACAUGCUCCAGUGCAUAUAAAUUCUUUGAAAAAUCAAAUCUUUGUCCUUGGGUGCAUGCUUAGGUCUCAUGCAAGAAAUGGGAAUGAAUUUCAAACACCAUGGCACCGUUGAUUUCCGGCAAAACAUUGAGAUGCCUGGUUUUUAAAUUCUAGUAAAUCCAAAACUCGUCUGAAAUUCAUGAAACUUGGCAUGCUAUCAUGGAGCGGCAUCAACAUGUCGUGGUAAAAUUUUUGUCCCAUUUGGGGCAGGUUUGGGUAUAUGCUUCUCAUAAACCGGAGCUUCUCACAACAAGCAUGACGGUUUUCGGUAGGGAAUGUCCCACCUUUGGGGACGAAAUGAUAUCCAUUGCCUCUUAUUGCUUUCAAUUUUUUUCUCGUGUCAACAUAUAACAACAGGAGUGUUGUGUGAAUUUUUGUGAUUUUUCGGGGUUCGUUUGGACAUUUUUAUGCAUUAAGUAAGUUUUCAAUGCAUUUAUGUGCAUAAUUCAAAUUUGAACUACAUGUGCAUGCUCCGGUGCAUAUAAACUGGUUGAAAAAUCAAAUAUGUGUCCUUGGGUGCAUGCUGAGGUCCCAUGCAAGAAAUGGGAAUGAAUUUCAAUCACUAGGGCACCGUUGAUUGCCGGCAAAACAUCGAGAUGCCUGGUUUUUGAAUUCUAGUAAAUCCAAAACUCGUCUGAAAUUCAUGAAACUUGGCAUGCUAUCAUGGAGCAGCAUCAACAUGUCGUGGUACAAAUUUUGUCCCAUUUGGGGUGGGUUUGGGUAUAUGCUUCUCACAAACCGGAGCUUCUCACAACAAGCAUGAUGGUUUUCGGUAGGGAACGUCCCACCUUUGGGGAUGAAACGAUAUCCAUUGCCUCUUAAUGCUUUCAAGUUUUUUUCUCGUGUCAACAUAGAACAACAGGAGUGUUGUGUGAAUUUUUGUGAUUUUUCGGGGUUCGUUUGGACAUUUUUAUGCAUUAACUGAGUUCCCAAUGCAUUUAUGUGCAUAAUUCAAAUUUGAACUACAUGCGCAUGCUCCAGUGUAUAUAAAUUGGUUGAAAAAUCAAAUCUCUGUCCUUGGGUGCAUGCUUAGGUCCCAUGCAAGAAAUGGGAAUGAAUUUCAAACACCAGGGCACCAUUGAUUGCCGGCAAAACAUUGAGAUGCCUGGGUUUUAAAUUCUAGUAAAUCCAAAACUCGUCUGAAAUUCAUGAAACUUGGCAUGCUAUCAUGGAAGGGCACCCGACACGCUGCGGUAUUUUUCUUGUCCAUUUUGAGAGAAGGCGCACUCGAAUAAUGACAGCCAACAAAGGCAUUUUGAAAAAAAUACCUGCCACUUUAAUAUCUCAAACGUUUAUAUAAUUCAAACCAUGUGUGUUCAGUUAACCAUUCACGUGACACCACGUGUCUUGGUUUUAAUGGCUAUAGGAGGUACCGUGUGGACAGCUGGUUGACUAAAUGGGGGGCAUGCGAGCGCAGUCCGGUGCGUAGGCUCAUCGGGAAGCGUACAAGCUGUUCAACGCAGGAUCUGUGCAUCUCUUCAACGCAAAUGGUUCAGAUUACGGUAUGCAAAUUAAAGCCAGACUUUAGCGCUAAGCCAAGAGACACUGCGAUUUGUCAAAAUAUGCAACUAAAAAUCAAUAUCACUAUCUAUUUUUUGCAACUAAAAUGCAGUAAUUAAGCAUAGAUUUCGUUCAUACUAGAGAUUAACCAGUCGUUCUCAUCGGGAAGCGAGACACCCUUGGACCGCCGCCCGCCUCGCUCCCACUGGUCUAUAUUAAUGGUGCCGCCGAGUGGCCGCACCCCCCAUCCCCUCCACACACACAAUUCCUCUCUCUCCGCACGCAUCCUCGACGCCGCUCUGAGUCCUCAAAGUCGUUAGUGUACGAGGAUGCCGCCGAAGCGCCCCAUCGGAGGGAGUGGCAACGCCGGGGCUGCUGAAGCACUGGAGCACGGCGUGAAUAUGGAGACAGAGGUUCCCGUCCCCGCCGACGAGGUGGAGAACGAGGCUGCCAACAAACGGAGGCGGGUCGAGAAAGAACCGCAAGCGACUCCAGCAGGCCUAGACUUCAUCAACAACCUCCCCGAUGAUAUGUUGAUAGUCAUCAUAUCCCUCCUCUCAAUCAGAAAUUGGGCGAGGACAAUCGCCAUUUCCUGGCGGUGGCUUACCCUAUGGCUCUGCACCCCUGUCGACCUCCUUCACGCCCACAAGUUGUGCCAUGGCUAUCGCAAAAGCUUGGAUGUGUUCUCCCAGAUCCUCGGCAGUCACCAUGGCCCAAUCAAAGGCCUUAUCGCGGGCAAGUUCCGUUCCAAUGGCAAGGAGCGAGCCAAGCUUGACGAGUGGUUCUGAUCCCACGCCAUAGAUCAACUCGAGAAGCUAAGUUAUAAUGAUGGGCAUAUGAGCUUGCUGCCAACGUCCGCGCUUCGCUUCGCGCCCACGUUGUGCCUCUCCAAAUUCAUGAACUUCCACCCCCUAAUGACGCGCCCGCUCUUUUUCUACCACGACUAAAGCACCUCGAGCUCGUCUCCGUCCGCAUCCCAAAGGAUGACAUGGAGCGCCUGCUCCGCGGCUGUACUACACUCGAGUUCCUUCGUCUUCAAGCGAUGAAUUGGUCGAGUACCUUGCACAUCACCUCCAGGACUCUCCGCACUAUUUAUGUGUGUUACUGGUGCUGCAACGAGAGAUCACAAAAGGUGGACCACAAUAUGGUCAUCCAGAACACACCUUCACUUGAGAGAUUACUUGUAGUUGAUCAACAAGGUCCAACAAGAAUCAAUGUCAUUUUUGCGCCAAAAUUGAAAGUGGUGGGCUACUCGUCUGUCAAAUACUACAACUUUCAGGUACAACAGUCGCCUUAUAUACCUCUCCUUCUUGAUAUCAACAUUAUUUCUAGUUUUGAAGAUGUAUGUUCGUCUGUCAUCCAGCGAAGCUUCACCCAGCCUCUGGGCACAGUGAAGGUCUUGGCACUAGAAUCUGUCGUCCCCAACCUGGACCAAGUUUUCAAUUGCCUGAGAUGCUUUCCGUGCCUGAAGAAGCUGUAUAUCAAGGUGAUGUUCCUUUCCUGUUAAAUGUUAACCAUAAGGGAGUUCAAUUUUUUGCACCUUUUCCCAAGUUUACAAUGACUAUGUACUACGAUUUCUGAAGGAAUUUUGGAGGAUUUUAGGACAUACACCCCCACCUCAUAUUGGUUGCUUCAUUCAUAUGGUUACAACCGUCCAUAAGCAUUUCUCCUUUGGAUUCAUCUGUACUAGUUUUCUUAGGGAAUUUUUCAUCCAAUCAAACCUCUUGUGAAGAAGGCUACAUGUUUCUAGAUUGUAAUCAAAUUAAUGCCCAUGUUAAUCAUGACAGAUUGAAGAUGGCACGUUGGUGCAUUUUACAAAUCCUGCAAAGCAAAUGGGCAUGUAGCAGUGUUCUAAACUGCAUGUAGGCACUAACACGUUUUCUUCUUUUGCAGUGCAUAUUAGGCCCGGUGGAAGAUGUUGAUAAUGACAAUCACAUCGAAUGCCUGGAUCUGCAUCUCCUAAAUAUUACUUUGAACUCCUACCGAGGAACCCUACAGGAGAUUACACUUGCCAUGUUCUUUCUUGCCACAACAAAGGUGAUGAGGUUACUGAGGUUGAACACACAUUUAAUUAGGGAAGAUCAAUGGUAUGAUUAUUAGAGGCGGCUGGUACUGCGGAAUGGAAGUGCCUCCAAAAAUGUCAAACUUCGUAUUGGAAGAGCAUAUGGCAAAGCAAUUGGAAGUUAUUGUGUCAAACCCAUACAUGACUUGUCAGCGGCUGAUCCCUUUUCAGAAAUGACGCAGCUUGCAAUGUUUGAAUUUGGGCGUUGUAAUCUUUGAACUUGAACCUUGUAAUAUUUAUGGUAUUUGUUAUAUUGAACCAUUUCUGUUCUCUUGUCUCAACGCAAACAGUUCAUCCGGGUGAACCGCAUGUUGUACAUCGCACACACCUUGAUCUGGCUGACUGUUUCUUUUGUGUUGCCUAAUCACAAACAGUUCAUCCGAGUGUAUUGUAUGUUGUACAUCGCAUACACCUUGAUCUGGCUGACCGUUUCUUUUGUGUUGCCUAAUCACAAACAGUUCAUUCGAGUGAACCGUAUGUUGUACAUCGCACACGCCUUCAUCAGGCUGCCCGUUUCUUUUGUUCCGCCUCAUCGCAAACAUUUCAUUGGACUAAACCGUAUGCCCUGGAUCGCACACGCAACUAAAAUCUGAACCGUGUUUGAUGCAUCCUCCAUAGCAAACGUUUUGCACCUUUUUUGACGGGUUUUUUGCAUCCCUGUUUGUGAUUAAUGCAUCGCACACAGUUUCGUGAAAGGGUCUCUGAUCGUAGUGUCGCGUUAGCAGCAUCCUGCAGUAGUGUGUUGCACCUUACCUGCUUAUCCCAAACUUUUUAGUAUAGGUUGGUUAGUGACCCAUCAGUGACCCCCACCUUGUCCUUGUUGCCCCCGCUUCAUCAUCGACGACUCGAUCAACGUGAUCGAUGACCAGAGCCCGACACCUCACAUCACAUCACGCCCCUUUUUUUCUCGACUCUGUAGAGCUACUAUCGAGUGCCGAGGGUGAUACCUCAUAACGCACUCCUGGUGAUAAUUCUGUAGUGUAGCUAUUCGGUCGUGGUCAUUGAGGGUGAUUCCUCCUUGACCACUCUUGAUACGACUCUAUCAUGCAACCCCUCAAGUGUGAACCUCGAGGGUGGUUCCUCUUACGUUCACCUUGAUGAUUACAUCGAGUGGAAUCCACCGAGGGUGAUUCCUCGGGUUUUCCCCUUGAUGUUUGGACACACGGUUACUCGGACUUUACUUGAGACCAUUGUUUAAGUCGGGUCGGCCCUGAGGGGUACCCGCGAGUUGAUGUGGAAGUCGGGUGGGCCCGUAGAGCACCCGCGAGUUCUCUACGUGGCACGGCCUGGGCAUUCUGGGCCCUUGCCGUAAGUCCAUGAGUCCGGGCGACGGGGUCACAUUAUCAUGAGUCUCUGCUCGUCUCCGCGAGCCCCCAAUGCACUAACAGGUUUGGGUAUUUGUUCUGAGUUGGCCUUUGGCCUUUACGCACUAACCACCAUGUGAGAAUAGUUAUGGGCCUCGACGUCGCAGUAUCAGCUGAAGCUUUGCAAGACUUCUAUUUCAGCAUGGCGGCACGGUCGGAUCGUGCUGGCCAUCCGAGGUGGCGAUGGUAUUCACCCUGUGCGCAAUGACCCGGAGUGCAACGGGCGAUGGGCCCAAGACCCCGGAGCGCUUAGGAUGUAGACCGGCGGGGACCUCUCUGCUGAGCCUAGGUAGGGCUACGACGUGUUGAUCUUCCAAGGCCAUGCAUUGACCCCAAAAAGGUGUGUCCGGCCAGAGUAAUCAAGCGUGUUGGGUAAUAUGGUGCACCCCUGCAGGGAAGUUAUCUAUUUGAAUACCGUGUCCAUGGUAAUGGAUGUUCAGACUUUUAUCCUGAUCUAUUAUAACUAGAAAUGGUUACUUGAGACAUGUGAUGGAUAUGUGGCUCCGAGAUUGCUUUCUCGUAGGGAGUCGAGGAUGGAUCUCUGGGCGUUAAUGCUAAAACAUGCUUGUUAAUUAAAAUGCUAUUCUUUACUCUUCUAGGUGCUGCAAGAUGCUUGGAGCUACUUGAAGAUGCUAGUCUUCGAUAGGCUAGGCAUUCCCCUCUAUUCUGGCAUUCUGCAGUUCAGUCCACAGAACAACCCUUCCUUUUGAUACCAAUGCAUACUUAGUAUAGAUUUGAUGCUUGUGAUUACUUUGGAUGAGUACUCACGGUUGCUUUGCUACCCCCUUUCCCCCUUCUUUCUUCUUUCUGGUUGUUGCAACCAGUUGGUGGAUCCCUGGAGCUAGAUGCCACCGCCGAUGGAUUCUACUACAUGGAGACCGCCAAUGACCAGGAGUAGUUAGGAGGUCCCAGGCAGGAGGCCUUGCCUCUUCGAUCGUUGUGGCUUUUGUGUUUGCCUUCUUAAGGCAGUCUUGUUUAACUUAUGUCUGUACUCAGAUAUUAUUGCUUUCGCUGACGCUUGUGUAUCGAGCUUGUAUUCGAGCCCUCGAGGCCCCUGGCUUGUAAUAUGAAGCUUGUAUUAUUUUAUUUGUGUCUAGAGUUGUGUUGUGAUAUCUUCCCGUGAGUCCCUGAUCUUGACCGUACACAUUUGUGUGUAUGAUUAGUGUACGAUUGAAUCGAGGGCGUCACAAACGUUCACAUUUUGAACUGAAUCGGCCUCACCGAGUUCAUACAUUCGGUCUGACCGAGUUGGCUCUUUUGUGUGUAACGGUUAGAUUUUGUGUGGAGGCUAUAUAUACCCCUCCACCCUCCUCUCCAUUAGUGGGAGAUCCAUAAGAACGUGCCUACACUUCCACUACUCAUUUUCUGAGAGAGAACCACCUACUCAUGUGUUGAGACCAAGACAUUCCAAUCCAACCACUUGAAUCUUGUUCUCUAGCCUUCCCAAGUUGCUUUCCACUCAAAUCAUCCUUCCACCAUAGCCAAAUCUGUGAGAGAGAGUUGAGUGUCGGGGAGACUAUCAUUUGAAGCACAAGAGCAAGGAGUUCAUCAUCAACACACCAUCUAUUACCUUUUGGAGAGUGGUGUCUCCUAGAUUGGUUAGGUGUCACUUGGGAGCCUCCAUCAAGAUUGUGGAGUUGAACCAAGGAGUUUGUAAGGGCAAGGAGAUCGCCUACUUCGUGAAGAUCUACCCAAGUAAGGCAAGUCCUUCGCGGGCGAUGGCCAUGAUGGGAUAGACAAGGUUGAUUCUUCGUGGACUGAUACGUCUCCAACGUAUCUACUUUUCCUAACGCGUUUCCUCUUGUUUUGGACUCUAAUUUGCAUGAUUUGAAUGAAACUAACCCCGGACUGGCGUUGUUUUCAGCAGAACUACCAUGGUGUUGUUUUUGUGCAGAGAUAAAAGUUCUCGAAAUGGAACAAAACUUUGCGGGGAAUUUUUAUACAAUAAACAAGAAUUUCUGGAGCCAAGACCUACCGGAGAGGGGCACCUGGGUGGGCACAACCCACCAGGGUGCGCCCCCUCUCCUGGCACGCCCAGGUGAGUUGUCCCCACCUGGUGGCCCCGCAGACCCUGAAACCGAUACUAUAAAAUCCUAUUUUUCCAGAAAAAAAUCGGGGAGAAAGAAUUAUCACGAUCCACGAGAUGGAGCCAUCGUCACCUCCUGUUCUUCAUUGGGAGGCCACAUCUGGAGUCCGUUUGGUGCUCCGGAGAGGGGGAUCUCCGUUCUUCAUCAUCACCAACCCUUCUCCAUCGCCAAUUCCAUGAUGCUCCCCACCUGGAGUGAGUAAUUCCUUCGUAGGCUCGCUGCUCGGUGAGGAGUUGGAUGAGAUUCAUCAUGUAAUCGAGUUAGUUUUGUUAGGGCUUGAUCCCUAGUAUCCACUAUGUUCUAAGAUUGAUGUUGCUAUGACUUUUCCAUGCUUAAUGCUUGUCACUUUGGGCCCGGGUGCCAUGAUUUCAGAUCUGAACCAUUUAUGUUAUCACCAUUAUAUCCAUGUUCUAAUCCGAUCUUGCAAGUUAUAGUCACCUACUACGUGUUAUGAUCUGGCAACCCUGGAGUGACAAUAGUCGGGACCACUCUCGGUGAUGACCGUAGUUUGAGAAGUUCAUGUAUUCACUAUAUGUUAAUGCUUUGUUCCAGUUCUCUAUUAAAAGGAGGACUUAAUAUCCCUUAGCUUCCAAUAGGACCCCGCUGCCACGGGAGGGCAGUACAAAAGUUUUCAUGCAAGUUCUUUCCAUAAGCACGUAUGACUAUUUACGGAAUACAUGCCUACAUUAUAUUGAUGAACUGGAGCUAGUGCCGUAUCGCCCUAGGUUAUAACUGUCUCAUGAUGAAUAUCAUCCAACAAGUCACCGAUCCAAUGCCUACGAAUUUAUCUUAUAUUGUUCUUGCUAAGUUACUAUUGCUAUCAUUUCUGUUGCACUUGUUACAAAACUAUUGCUAUCACUGUUACCGUUACCAUUGUUACUGCUACUAUUAUCAAAACUAUCAUACUACUUUGCUACUGAUCACUUUGCUGCAGAUAAUUAAUCUCCAGGUGUGGUCGAAAUGACAACUCAGCUGCUAAUACCUUCAAAUAUUCUUUGGCUCCCCUUGUGUCAAAUCUAUAAAUUUGGGUUGAAUACUCUACCCUCGAAAACUAUUGCGAUCCACUAUACUUGUGGGUUAUCAUGGACCCUUCAUGGGUGGAGCCCUCCGUGGACUCGCGCAACCUUUACCCUUCGUGGGUUGAAGUCUCCAUCAAUAUGGAUGUACGAUAGCAACACCUAUCGGAACCAUGCCAAAAAUCUCCGUGUCUACAUUGUGUUUGCCUUUCCAAACCCCUCUCUUUACCUUCAUAUGCAAUGAUUUACAUUCCGCUGCUAUACUCUUAGAAUUGCAUGUGUAGGUUGAUUGCUUGACUUGUGCUAAGUUGUUAAAAUCUGCCAAGACUUAAAAUUGGGAAAAUGAUAGAUUUUAAUUUGGUCAAGUAGUCUAAUCACCCACCCUCUGGACCUACUUUCGAUCCUACACUUUUGUUCUUGAGGACAUGGAAGAAGUCUUGUUAUAAGUAAUCAUGUGAAGUUGGUAUUCGUUUGAUAUUUUGAUUAUAUGUAUGUUGUUCUUCGUGUAGUGGUGUCAUGUGAAUGUCGACUACAUGACACUUCACCAUACUUGGGCCUAAGGAAAGGCAUUGGGGAGUAAUAAGUAGAUGAUGGGAUGCGAGAGUGAUAGAAGUUUAAACCCUAGUUUAUGUGUUAUUCCGUAAGGGGCUAAUUUGGAUCCAUAAAUUUCAUCUAUGGUAAGAUUAUCUUUUUUAUUUUGUAGUUGCAGAUGAUUGCGAGAGAAUGUAAUCAUAAGAGGGUUGCUUGUUUAAGUAAGAACAACACCCCUAUCACCGGUCUACACACAUAUCAAAUUAUUAAAAUAAAGAAUGUGAAUCAACUAAACAUAAUGAACGUGACUAGACAAUAAUUCUCAUGUUUCCUCGAGAACGCUUUGCUUACUAUAAGAAAACAUCCAGGCUACCUUGCUGCACCUUCGUUACUCUUGCUACUUGCUACUUGUUACCAACUAUCUUACUACAAUACUAUUUGUCACCGCUACUUUUAGUACUUGCAGAGAAUACCUUAUUGAAAACCACUUGUCAUUUCUUUUUGCUCCUCGUUGGGUUCGACACUCUUACUUAUCGAGAGGAUUACGAUUGAUCACUAAUACUUGUGGGUCAUCAAAACUCUUUUCUGACACCGUUGCCGGGGAGUGAAGCGUCUUUGGUAAGGAAACAUUUUUGUACGCGCUGAAAUUUACUGUCGCUUGUCACUAUGGAAAAUAAUUCUUUGAGGGGUCUCUUCGAGAUAUCUCCACCUCAACCGAAAGCAAUAAGAGUUGCCUCUCAACCCAGUGAAAAUAUUUAGUAUGAAAUUCCUUCGGGUAUGUUAGAGAAACUGCUAGCUAAUCAUUAUGCACGAGAUGGAACAAUACAUCCUGAUAUACACUUAAUCUAUAUAAAUGAAAUUUGUGGAUUGUUUAAGCUUACAAGUUUAUCCGAGGAUAGAGUAAGAAGAAAAUAUUCCCUUUAUGUUUGAGGGGAAAACAUUGACAUGGUAUAGGCUAUUGGAUGAUACCAGAACAUAGGACUGGAACCGGUUGAAGCUGGAAUUCCAUCAGAAGUUUUAUCCUAUGUAUUUGGUUCAUCAUGUCGGAAUUAUACAUAUAAUUUUUUUCUUAACUCCAUCCUCGCAGGUUUACCGAAACAUGUUUAAUGUUAUGGUCAGUUUUAUCUUAAUUUUCUUUUGUAGUUGCGGAUGCUUGCGAGAGAGGGUAAUUAUAAGUAGGUUGUUUGUUCAACUAAGAACAAGACCUUAGCUCCGGUCCACCCACAUAACAACUUAUCAAAGCAAUGAAUGCCAGUUAAUGAAUCAUGAUGAAAGUAACUAGAUGAAAUUCUUAUGCCUCUUGAAGAACGUCUUAAUCACUAUAAGAAAUACUUCCAGCUUGUCCUUAGCAAUAAUAAGGAUUGAGCCACCUUGCCGCACCUUAUUACUUUUGUUACUUGUCAAUUGUGACCGAUAAUCUUGCUAUCAAGUUAUCUAUCAAAACUAUCUUCUACCAUUUGCAGAGAAUACUUUGCUGCAAACCGCUUAUUUAUUUCCUCUACAUCUCGUUGGGUCUGACACUCUUACUUAUCAAAAGAAUUAUAAUUGAUCCUCUAUACUUGUGGGUCAUCAACUGCCUAUAAACUGUGAUGGUGGCGGUCUACUAUACAUAGGCAUGUGAAAGACUACGCACGGUAGCAGUGGCGGAGCUACGGACGGUAUGCUGGGCGGGCCAGAUUUGGCUAAGCUAAAGGGAAGCCUCCAAACUUUACCUUGUUUGAGCUAAUUUUGCCAUGACACCUACUGAUUUAACCAUGUAUUGGGCGGGCCAUAGCACAGUUUUGCCUGUGCAUAGCUCUGCCACUGCACGGUAGGCUGCAUCGGCAUUCAAUGCAUGGUCAGGGACGUGGCCUCACGACUAAUGCGAAAGCUGCCUACAUGCGAGGCACGUGCCUUUAAAAAAUUAUGGCGAUAGAUAAUGGAAUGAUGAUUUUGCUAUAACAGUUUUUUUCGAUAAAAAGUUUAUAGUGACCAUUAUUACGGCAAUCGAACGCUCCCCUAGAGUUGCUCUUUCCCACACUUUUAGAGUAAAACUAUCUACAAUGGGAGUAACUUCAGCAGUAACAUAGAGUCUAACUCAACAAAUUUGCUUAUGUGACAAUGAGUUAAUGAAGAUAGAGGUAGUUUGAGUAACUUAGCUAGUUACAUGUCUCAAUGCAAUAUGAGUCUAUAACCUAAUAAAUGAAUAUAGUAACAUAAUUUAGAGAUAUGUGUAUGUUAUUCUUCACUGUGGCUAGCCUAAGAAUGUUGAAACAUUUCACCGUUUCUUGCAAAUUUUCCACUAGCUUCUGCUACCAAGCUGCUGUUAAUCUUGCGCCGUCCAUUCGGCGUUUUGCACGAACAUCGGAGAUCGGACGGCAAAAGACAUCCUCCCUAGUCUCACGGGAAACGCCCGCACAGCUGGCCGCCACUCCACCCGCCGGUCACCAACGCAGCAGCCAAAACCAAUCAGGAGACAGAGCCGCUCGCUGGCCUCGCCUCCUCCGCCGCAUUCCUCCGCCGGCAGCGACAGCACAAUCCGCUUAUCCCCGCCGGCAGCGACUCCCCAACCCGUCGGUCGGUGCCGCUCGAGCCCGUAAGGCCGUACCGGCAUCCACACCUGCAUGGCUCUCCGCGCGGCGUCGCCGCCCUGCGCCGCGGGCCGCUGCCUCCCCUCCUCCCCGCCGCCUCGCGUCGGCGGCAGGCAAUUCUUCCGACCCCUCCCCCCCGCCGCGCCUGCGCCGCUCCGGAAGUCAGCAGGUAGCCUACUGGAUCCACGUGCUUCUAUGCUUUCAGUUACGAGUGCACGAUGCUCAUACGGUACAGGUAGUUGCUACCUGCCAAUGAUUGGGGUUAGUAUUCAGGCGGAUUUGAUGACGUUAUUUAGGCAGCUCCAGGAUCUAAGCGAUUGUAGGCGUUGGCGCGCUGCUCACUACCAUGUAGUUCUUCAAAUCAUCGAAUGCGUUAGGUGUGGUGGACGCAUGCUUUUUCCCUCGUGUGAAUAAAUUGACUCGCUAGGUAUCAACUAUAGUUCAAAUCAUCGAAUGCCAGUUAGGUUUGAUGGACACAUGCUUUUUCGCCCUUGUGAAUGGACUCCCCAGGCAUAAACGCAUGCGAUUUGAACAGUUCUUUUGGUCUUACUGAAGGAGUAGCAUACUAGUGUGGUACUGACCGUCUGAGGGACAAAAUGGAUGCAGACUCCGGUAUGCCUAGCUGGCCUGAGACAUGGAUGACUGAACCUUCGGUUCCUGUCAUAUAUUUGGAAGUUGGUUGCAUGUUGCGCUUAAGAAUGGUGGGUGUGGGCAUGGUUGAGAAGCAUGCGUUGUGCUCUCGAUAAUUUGUUUUCUGUAUCUGUGCUGUAUGCGUGUUGUGUACAAGUACCUGGUAGUGUAGGCAGGAAAAAGUCUUAAGAUAUGCGGAUGGCGAACAGUUCCUGGUGUGGAAGACUGGAAAUUAGGCUGGUUUAUUGUAUCUUAAAGAUUUAUACAGUUCAAAUGGGUUUGGCAUGCAUAUUCUGUUAACCAGGGUACUGGGGUAGCAAGUCUUUUGUUGUGGUGAUGCUCCAGAAACAUAUAUCAUUAAUUCAUUCCUAAGUACUAACAUCAUGAUCCUGUCAUUUCUCAAAAUAAAGUAUCAUGGUCCUGUUGGCCUGUAUAGUGAUCAUUCAGGUGCUUUUUGUGGACCGAAAUGAGUUUCAAGUGCAAUGAUUGGGGUGGGUUUCAACAUUAAACUAUUACUAUUAUUAUUUUUGGAUUGAAAGAUGAUUUGUUUCCUAGCUAUGUUUUGUUAUUUUAUAUGUGGUUCUGUCAAAGCCAAAGAAUUUGAUAUCAUUCCUGUUUGAUUCAAUUUUCAACCAUAGUUUGUACCAAAGCAAUUUCAAACAGUGAUGGCACCCCUGGAACGAGCGAUUCUCCACAUGUGGUGUGUUUUGGGGAAUUGCUGAUCGACUUCGUCCCAACUGUUAGUGGGGUGUCACUGGCAGAUGCACCAGCCUUCAAGAAGGCUCCAGGGGGUGCACCUGCCAACGUUGCAGUUGGAAUAGCUCGUCUCGGUGGAUCAGCAGCUUUCAUUGGAAAGGUAAUUUGUAACUUUCUUCCUAUUUCUGCAUGUUGUAAUACAAGAGCGAGAAAUUUCAAGGAUGUGUAAAUACAGUACAGCUGGAAAAAAGGAAAAUACACGCAGAUAAAUUGUUGCCAAUUUUUUGUUUUAAUUUAAAGUUUUAUGUGCACUGCAUACACCCUGAAAUAUUAUCAACUAAAUUGCACUUUUCGUCCCACAAAUUUCACUUCGGUGGGUCUCAGAAAAAGUUUCUCGUGGGGAAGUUCCUAAACUUCUAAAACUGUCAGAAAUUCAUCUAUGUUCACAUACUCAUAUAGUUCCGUGCAGCAUUUUAGGCACUGCAUGAGUAGAAACUGCAUUCCAGUGCCCCGCAUAAAGUUCUGUGCAGCAUUUUAGGCACUGCAUGAGUAGAAACAUGUGCAUAUUCCUCCAGGCUCCUGCUCAUUGUUGCAGACAGCUUGGCUGCUUGUAUGGUUCUGACAUCCUUACACAUGUAACACAUCUUGGUAGUAUGCACCUUGAAUCUUGCCUAUGAGUACAGCAUCACUUCUACCAAGAUCGAGGAGAGUGGAACCAGAGCCAAGAAGUGGUUCCAUGUUUGCAGAUCUCGAUACUUGAUCUAGCUGAUAGGUUUAUGCCAGAUAACUGCAAGUUUGGUGAUCCUUGAGGAAGAUUUCCAUGUUUUAGAAACCUUUCAGGAAGAUAUUAUAGUUUUUUGUUUCGGAAAAUGAGAUCAUUUUUAUAUUUAGAGACCUAAAGUGUGAUGUGCUAAAUAUCAUUAAUUCCAUGUUGUUUUCACCUCAAAGUGCAUUCAUUUGUGUACUUGGUGUUUUUUCAGCUCAUGUAUUUAACACUGAACACAUUCAGGUUGGUGAUGAUGAAUUUGGAUACAUGCUAUCUGACAUGCUGAAGGAGAAUAACGUGAACAAUCAAGGGUUGCUAUUUGAUACUCAUGCUAGAACAGCUUUGGCAUUUGUGACACUUCGAAGUGACGGUGAACGCGAAUUCAUGUUUUAUCGUAAUCCAAGUGCAGACAUGCUGCUUGAAGAAAAAGAGCUUGACCUUGACCUUAUCAGGAAGGUACGAGAAUUACAUGGUUCUAUAAUAUUCUUGCAAUAUCUAUGCUUCUCUACCACCACAGGUUUGUUUAAUCAUGUAAUAUAUUUGUGACAAGCUGAACUUAACUUAAUCAUGGCAAUCAUGCUAGGCAAAAAUCUUCCAUCAUGGAUCAAUAAGUCUGAUAACCGAGCCAUGUAAAACUGCACAUAUUGCAGCUUCCAAAGCUGCUAAAGAUGCUGGGGUACUAAUUUCAUAUGAUCCGAAUUUGAGGCUCCCACUGUGGACAUCAGCUGAUGAUGCUAGAGAUGGUAUCCUGAGCAUAUGGGAUACUGCUGAUCUUAUCAAGGUAACAACUAACAGGCAGCAGCCUGCAAAUUAUUUGUGUUCACCAAAGGCUUAUUGUCUUGAUCAUGCAUCUGCUUUGCAAAUAGGCAAGUGCAGAGGAGAUUUCCUUCUUGACAAAUGGGGAGGAUCCAUAUGAUGAUUCUGUUGUGAAGAAACUUAUCCAUCCGAACACGAAGUUGCUUCUUGUCACUGAAGGUCCAGAUGGCUGUAGAUAUUAUUCCAAGGUAAUGUCUAUCUGUGAACUGUAUAUCUGGUCAUUUAUUGGAAGUUUGCAGUAACUUCUGUUGGUAAAUGGUAAGAGAUUGCUGAGAUGCAGCCGCACUUCUUUUAGUAUCUCCUCGAACCUACUUGGUCAUGUCGCAGAAGUCAUACAGCAUUUAAAUUUUUUUCCUGAAUUAUAGAAAAAACGUGGUGCAGAGCAUAAGAUGGAUUUCCCUCUUGUAGUCCAAAGCAGGAGGAAAACCAGAGUUGUGUAGCCGAGUGGUGCUAGGUUGCUAGCCUAUUAUCCUUGGGAGACCUCUCUUUCCAUCAAGUAGUAUUAACUAUGUAUCUGUGUUUUUUUUUUUUGCGGAAAGUAACUAUUUAUCUGUUAUGAGCAUAUUCAGACCUGUAGGGUGGAGAUCAUGUCCUUCACUAUUUCAUGCAGUCACUUACUGGUCUUGUGUACAAAGUCUAUAUUAACAGUAUGAAUUAUUGUUCCUUUUGUAAAACAACAGGAAUUUAGUGGGAAAGUUGGUGGAUUGAAGGUAACUGCUGUUGACACCACUGGUGCUGGGGAUGCCUUUGUUGCUGGAAUAUUAUCACAGCUAGCUGCGGAUUUUUCACUCCUUCAGGUAUGACCAGUACUGCCAGAAUAUGGAGUUUUCUUUUCCAGCCUCUUGAGUAGAGAGUGAGCUCGGUGAGGUAUACAGAAUUUUUCCUGCAUAUUGAUUGUCGAUGGAAGUAGGAAAUGAUUUCCAAAUGAUGAAGUGAUAUAUUACUUUUGUUAUCUGUAGAGUCCAAUUUUUAAGUUUUGAAACUAUAGAGAAAGUUAUGCACAGCAUGCUGAAUAUUUUGGGCUCCUUUUGGGGUGCAGCAUGAGGUGUGCGACUGGUGCUGCAGUUGUAGUCCAGUAAGGCAGACAUGUUAGGAAGAUCAAAAGGGAAGAGUUUAAGUAAGUAAUGGAAGAAGAAUUGAGUUAGGAAAUAAAUGAGUAAUUCGGAAAGAGUCCAGGUCCAGUUUGUGAUUUCUUUGAAGUCCUAGCCCAACUCUGUCCAGUUUGGGUCUUAGGCUUAGGAUAAUCCUCAGAGCACACACGAGGGCGAGCACAGGUUAUCGUUUAUUCGUUUUAUCCUCCUGUGCGUUCACGUUCUGAAACCCACCAUCUUCUCUGCUGACCACUUAAAUUCCCACCACGCAAGCCUAGUCCAUAUUACUGAAGGCUGAGGCGCCAAGCAGCUGAAGUGCUGAGCAGGCAACCACAAAACUGAUAGCUUAAUUAAUCUCGAUAUUAUAUAUCUGUUUUUGUUAAAGAUGUGCUAUCCUGAAGCCAUGAAUGUGCUCCAACUGAUUGAAUGAGGAAUGAAUGUUUGUUCAUACCUGAUGCAUCUAUCUAUAUACAUCAAACAUUCUGUUCAAUGUUAGCCGUGAUGUUUUUCUUGAAAAUUUUGUCCUGAGGAUUUUAAACAGGUGUGGGUGGUUUGCUUUAUGCCUUUAUAUAUAAAGUGGGGUGGAAGCCUUUUUUGGUAACAACAGGUCCGGUCUAGAGAAACUGUACAGAAUAAACAAACUACUCAUUAGUGGCAUACAUGCAAAUUAGAAAUCUAUAAUAGAAAUAACACAAACUGGAAAUCUUGUUGUGUACGUGUUGGCUUCGAUCACGGUCCGCGAUUCAGAGUCACAACACAAGUGGACGCUUGGGACACAGUUAUCACGGCGUGUCGACCCUGUAGGCAUUGGCCAGGGACAUCUUAAGCGGACGAAUGACACUUUCAUACUCGGCUUUGUGUGGAAUAGAGCAAUUUUCAAGCAAUUAGCAUUUCGUUUUCAUUUGCUUUAUGUCAUAUCUAUCUUUGUGUUUGGCUAGGUAGCUUUGGUGGGGUUGCUGCAGAAAUUUAGUAAUGUCUGGAGAUACCCUGUAGUUGGAUGUACCACCUUGUUGCCGCGGCAAAAGAGCAAUAAAAUUCUUCCUGUAUCUAAAAAAAAUCAUCAAAAAAUUAUUCUUUUCUGUAUCAAAUUCUCUGGAAUGGCGGAAUCUUUUGCUACUCAUAAAAAGAAACUGAAACUCUGGAAUCACAGUGUCACUAUGACCUUGGAGUUAAUGCUGAUUUGCUUUUCUUAGCAGGACAAUCGGUAAAACUAUACUAAUCAUUUCUGUAGGAACACAUUCCCUUCAUUUCAAAAUAUAAGGCAUUAAGUUUUUGCAAUUUUAUUUCAAAAGCACGACCUGACAGACGUUUGCUCUUACUUCCCUGCAUUUAUAUCAUUUCUUUCUCUCCAAUAUUUAUGAUUAAACAUGCGUACUAAAUUACUAACUAUUCCUUUUUUAUGGAUGCUAUGGUCAUUUCUCUUAACUUUUUUUCGUUGGUUGUAUGCCCUGUUUAAUCCCCGUGCUUGAUCAAAAACAGCUUAUGGAGUGGAUGGACACCUAGUUAUUUUGUAUACACAUUAAUCUGUAAGUAUUUGGGCCAUAUGUAUGUGUGGGCACUACCAAUUGCACACAUGCUAAUUUGAUAAAUGAAGCUAGAAAACACGUAACCAUGUCCGGCAAGGGCAGCGCAGAAUAUGCCCUAUUGGUAAGGCCCAAACAUCAACCAUGAAAGUGUUAUGUUGGCGCAAAUAAGCCAUGCCCUGCGGUGGUGACCGACGUCGGCACGCCAGGUCUGGUCCGUGGCGUGCGUGGGCAUUGUCUGGGCAUAGUCCUACUAGUGUAUGGGCAUAGUCCCACUAGUGUCUGGCCAGUGUAUGUCCAGGUCGAGCCCAUGGCGGGUGCGUGCGUGUGUGUGUUGGUGGGUCUGUUAGCGAGUGACGCGGCCCUGUGUAAUCGUUGCCCAGUCGAGUUCGCGCUAGAGGAAAAUUGCCGUUCGUGCGGCAGGCGUUUGUGUGCCGGAAAUCUCCCUGUGUCCACCGUGUUCUCCCUCCUUCCUUGGUUCAAGCCAGAGAGCGUGCAACAGAGAGAGGGCGAGGGCGACUAGAGAAGGUGAGCCAGAGCUAGGGCUAGACCCUGACAUAUUAUUAUCUAAAGAUCGUGGAAAUAUUCAGUUGGCACGACACAUGUAUCACAGCCCAAAAUAUACUCAAGUGAAUUUGCAUUUCUUGUCAUUGCACCAUUGCUUUUCAAGCCCACGUAUUUUUCUUGUCUGCAAUUUCGGCAUUAGUCUGAAGCAGGGGUUUUAGUGCUAGGCUUACCUAGCUGUUUGUGGCCUAAACAGGAUGAAGCUCGGUUGAGAGAAGCCCUGAAGUUCGCGAAUGUCUGCGGAGCUCUCACGGUGACAGAGAGAGGAGCUAUUCCUGCACUGCCCACCCGACAGCAAGUGGCUGAUGCCCUGACCAAUGUCGUUGCUUAAGUCUGCCAGGCAGGUAGUUCUCAUCUGGUUUGCUGUGUAAUCUAACGCAACUAGCGUUGGCCUGUCGGGCAUCGUGUUGUUAGAAUAGUUCUAAGUUGGCCGUGUGAUUUGGUUUACGCUGUUUGUUGCCUUGCUGGUGUACCCCAGGCUACCGGCCAACCAAAUAAGAUGCAAGAUGCGAGUUGCGGUCCAAUUUAACUUCUGAGAUUUAUGUUUGGAGCCUCAGAGCUAGUAAUUGCUGUGUAAUAUUUGUAUAUUUUUACCGCGGUUAUCUGCUGGUGCCGUGAGGAAGUACAUUCGGGCUAACCAUGAAAGGAGAAAUUGGCUAGAAAAAGUUUUAUUGUGUCACUCAGUUUUUUCAUUCAGUGAGAAAUAUGAAUGAGGUGCUACUCAUGAUGAUUUUUUUUUCUUGAUUUGUGGACAAAACCUAU